rnacentral:lncRNA from 1 species
UGUACUUAGCUCAUACAAGACCAGAUCUUGCUUAUGCAUUGAGUGUAGUGAGUCAAUACAUGCAUAAUCCUGGAGAGCAACAUAUGAAUGCAGUCAUGCGUAUUUUGAGGUAUUUGAAGAAUGCUCCUGGGAAGGGAAUUUUGUUCGCUAAAAAUGUUGAUCAUUAGAGUAUAUAUACUGAUGCUGAUUGGGCCGGUGCAGUGGAUGAUAGGCGAUCUACAUCUGGUUACUUUACCUUUGUAGGUGGUAAUCUUGUGACAUGGAAAAGUAAGAAGCAGAAUGUCGUCGCUCGUUCAAGUGCAGAAGCAGAAUUUAGAGGUAUGGCUCUAGGACUUUGUGAGGCAUUAUGGCUAAGACUCCUCUUACAGGAUUUAGGUUACCUAUCUAGGCAACCAAUCCGAUUGUUUUGUGACAAUAAAGCCGCAUGUGACAUUGCUCAUAAUCCAGUACAACAUGAUCGUACAAAGCAUGUCGAGGUGGAUAGAUUUUUCAUUAAGGAAAAGUUGGAUGAUAAGAUUGUGGAAUUGCCUAAGAUUCGAUCAGAAGAUCAAUUGGCCGAUAUCCUUACCAAAGCUGUCUCAAGUCAAGUGUUCUCAAAAUUUUUAGACAAGUUGGGCAUGUGUGACAUCUAUGCACCAACUUGAGGGGGAGUGUUGAGAUAUUAGGAAUGCUUUCCUUAUAUCAUUCUUUCCUUAUAUUAUUUAAUGUUGAGAUAUUAGGAAUGUUUAGAUAUUAGGAAAGUUGAGAUAUUAUGAAUAUUGAGAUAUUAGGAAUAUUGAGAUAUUAGGAAAGUUGAGAUAUUAGGAUAUUAGUUGUUAUUUCCUUAUAUCAUUCUUUCCUUGUAUCAUUCUUUCGCAUUCUUAGAAUGGUGAUUACCCCCUAUAUAUACUCUGUACAUGAACGAAUGAAAGUAUGAAUGAAAAAAACUAUCAUUUAUCAAUUUGAAGAGUUUGUAUUCUUAUAAAUUAAAUUCAAUGUUAUGAUUUUAGUUGAAAAGCAAUGUAAGUUUAAAUUGAUGUGAAUGAAUAAUAUAUUUCCAUUUUAUUUAGUUAUGUAUGGAUUCAAUCUUUUCUUUAUUUUACGAAGAAAAUGAGAAUUUAAUUAGUGAAGUAUUGAAUCAUUGAUUUUAUUAAUGCCCUUAAUUAAAUCAUAGUAAUCAAAUGAUGAAUUCAUGUAAGCUGCAAUAUUAUAUUGUAUUGUGUUUUGUGCAUAAACUUAUUUUCGGAGUCUUUGUUUGGCUCAUUCCACCAUUUGAUUUGGAUUGAAAGUUUAACCUCUAGUUUAAAUUUUAAAAUCCUAGUAGGAGAUUAAGACUAUGUUUGUUUACUGGAAAAUAUUAAGGAAAAAAAAUGUUAAUAACAAUGGUUUCCUUAUGUUUGGUUUCUAAUAUGGGAAAUACAAAAAUAAAAAAAAACAAAAAAAAAACUCAUAUUUUAUUUCAUGAAGUAAAUUAAUUAUUUGAUGUUCACUCAUUUUAUCUAUAUUCCAUUCAUAAAAACUACUACCAUCAUAAUUAAUAGUUAAUUGAUAAUUUCUUUCUUCUAAUUGAAAGUCGGGAAAAGAGGGUUUUGAAUAAUAAUUUUUUCUACUUACAAAAUGAUUAGAAAUCACAUUAAUUGUUGAGGGAGGUUUAACUAUUGAAUCCGGAGACAAUUUUGAAUUGUUCUUCUAUUUUAUUGACUUCUCAUUUUCUUUUUGUUAUAGUUUGAAUUUGAUUUUUAUUUUGAUUAAUGCCAUUAAUACUAAGUUGAUCUAAUCUAAGUUAUAUUUCUUUUAACAUUAUUUUCGUUGGUGGAGCUAGUUGUAUAUUUGAUUUUCUAGCAUUUAUAGGACUAAUAAAAAGUUGAUUUAGAGACUUAGCAAAAUAUGAUGAUGAUGAUGAUAAAGUUGAAGAAAAGUUUGAAGAAAAAGUUGAUUUUGGUAUUGAUUUUGAUGUUUCUCCUAUCUUCCUUCCCAGGGCAAAAGCAAAUAAAAAUUGAGAAAUUUUUGUUGUUUGUUGAGCUAAAUGUUGAAGAUAAUGAUUUGGACAAUUUAAUUAUUGUUAAACUUGUCUAAUAUCUUUAUAAAUUAUGAGAAUUUGUUCAUCUUUGGUUCUUGGAAUUUUGAAGGAUGAGACAAAAAUUGAAUUAUUAUUAAAAUUAAAUUGAUGAUUAUUUAAGGGUGGUUGAGAACCUAAUUAUGAGGUUGUUGUUGAAAUUCUUUUUUGAAUAUUUUUUGAGUGUUUUAUUACCAAUUGACGUCCUUCUUCAUUUCUUAAAGUUAUGAGUUGUUUUCUUUGUUUUCUAAGUUUGAAAAACCAAUAGAAAAAAGGAAUAGUCAUUUUCUUUUGAUUCAUGUAUCUUUCAUAUUGUUUUCUUAAUGCAUUUUUGGCUUGAGGAGGAAAUAUUUGAAAAUAAGCUAUUUUAAUACUAUUGUAAGGGGAAAAAUAAUAUGAUUUUAUCCAUUCUACAUUAGGAGUAAAAUGAUUUUUUUUUAUUUAUAAUUUUUCUUAUGAAUAAUAUUAACUUGAUUAGGAUAUAUAUUGGAAUGAGUAGGUGACACAAGAGGAGAUUCUUGUUGUUGAUAUAUAGGAAUAUGAAUUUUUGGAGUAAAAUUGACACUAUUUAAAUUUGUAGUUGAAGUAGAAGAUCUUGUAGAAAUAAAAUCUUGAUUAAAUGAAUAUUUUGAAGUUUGACUAAAUUCUAUUUGAACAGUACCAUAUGUAUGUUGUAUAAUUUUUGAAGGAGUUGUUAAAAGUUUAAUUGGUUUUGGAUUAGUUAAAUCUUUUAAUUCCCAUUGACCUCCUUGAGUAAUUUAAUUCCAUUUUAGUUUUUUAGGAACAAAGGCUUGAAUAUUGUUAGGAUUAUAUUGUAAAAACGAAAGUAUUUAGUUUCUGCAAGGUUGCUAAAGGUGAAAAGGCCAUGUAUCUUACAUAUUUUGUAAAAUUGCCAACUUUUACUAUUUACACACUAUUUAACACUAUUUAUCACUAUUCACUACUAUUUGAAUAGUUUUUUUUCUUGUGUUUUAUACGCAUUAUUUUUUACUUUUUUUUAUUGAAUAAAUACAAGGAUGUACAAAUGUACAAAAGAUUAUUGAAAUCUUUUAUCUAGAUUUACCCAUAGGUUCGCCAUAUAGAUUUUUGAAAUCUUUUAUCUAGAUCGACCCAUAGGUCCGCCAUACAGGAUGAACUCGGGGUCUACAAAUGAAUCAUUUGAUAAAAUUGUAUCUUCAGUUUCUUCAUUAUCUUUAUUAGCACCAAACUAUUUGAGAGUUUUAAUAAGUCAUUGACGAUAUUGUUCUAAAUUUGUAGCUACUAAUGAAGCUUGACAUUUGCUUUUUAAAGUUAGGAAUUUAGCUUGAGUCAAUCCUUAAGAAGAGCUUGCUGAAUCUUUUGAAUUUGAUGAUCUUGACCUUGAAAUUAUUUGCAGAAUUUUUUGUUGAUACACGAACUUGUGAUUUAAUUUGUCCUACCAUUUGAUAUUGAAUUCUUGGAUAUAGAGAUAAUGAAAAAGGAGGUUGCUCUUACUUUUUGAUAAUAUUCCAUGUAGAAUCCAUAAAAUUCUUAAUAUGGAACAAAACGUUAUUAUUAUUAGAAAUUGCAUAUUGAUGUUACUUGUAAUUGUAAUUACCAUUAACUUUUUACAUUUUGUUUCAAUAUGAUAAAAUUAAGUACAUCAAAUUCAAUUCUAUAAAUAUAUUUAAUGUAUGUUAACACCCAUGUGCUCGCAAUCAAUAUUCUUGUACUUAUCCAUACACAUGUUACUCCUAUCAAAAUACUCAAUAAAUGAAAUAAAAAUAAUGAUAUUGGUCCAAACAAAUAAAAUCACUAUAUACCAUUUCAUUAUUCUUAUUUUACAUCAAAUAAAUUUGUUUAAAUUAUAAUUUCUACUCAUUACAAAAUUUUACUAUAGGAAUUAACUUAACUUGAAAUGUAUUUUCAUCAUAAUUUAUAUAUUUAUUUAAUUUGCUUGUUUCACUCUUUUUGAAGCUUCAAUCUUAAAAUUCUUUGAUUUAUUUUAGAGUUGAUUAAAUAUGAUAACUUUACGAUGAUGAAUGACACUGUAGACCCCCUUUGGUGGUGAGGCCCGGGAAGUUGAUUUUUCUUUACUUUUCAUUAUAUUUUUAGAAGGGGUAGGGGACCCUUAAUCCCGUCUGCAUGAGACGUGCAACGGCAGAGGGGUGAUGGCUGGCCAUGCUUGCUGAUGUGAUGAACAGGAAAGGGAAGGGUGGCUUGCGAAGAAAGAUAGAAACAGGGAGGAGAGGAAAAAAAAAACCAGAGCGGGUGGAGUUCCGGGGCUUUCCGGACUCGCUUCUGGGAGUAGACACACCUAGCUCGAAACCAAACAGACACUUGUUUGAAAGGAGGAUCAAAAGGUAAGUGCAAGCUCUACGUCUUUGUUUUCUUCAUUACCUUACCUUGCUCCUCACUGGUUUCUUUGCAUUGUUUGGACUGAGUGUGGGCUUAAGGCUAUCCUUUUGAUUUACUUGUUGAUCUUCGAGAUGAUUGUAGGCUGCUUGUUGUUGUUUCAUAUCUGCGAUUCCUUUUGAUUUUGCUAAAAGAUGAUUUCACUCUGUUUUGUCUUUACUGCUAAGUGCUCGAAAAUCAUGUUUUGUUCCUAUUCGAUCUGGUCUCCCCCCCUCGAUCAGCCUGCUCACUGAUAAUCCAUGCAAUGGAGCUUCGACUGAUGUCUUGUGCUUUUUGUUUUGUCAUUCUCUCUUUCUGGAGACGUUUCUUUGCUAUGGUUUUCCUCUGUUUCUGGUUUUUUUUAUUUAUUCAAAUGCAUGAGCCACAAGGAAGGAGGUCACGAGCACUGUUGAGCCUGGGUAGUUUGCCUGGUCUGGAUCGGUUGUUGAAUCUAAAUAUACUCUGGAGGUAAACAGUGAAGAGAGAAGGCAGGUAGAGGCCUUGACACAGCUUUGUGGGAUGCUUUCCCUUGAUACCGAGGAGUCACUCAGUACAUUUUCAUUGGAUUCCUUCGUGCUAGUGCUUGUGGGUUUGCUCAAUCAUGAGAGUAAUCUUGAUAUUAUGCUUCUUACGCCCAGGCAUUGAUCCAUUAAUGUGAUGUACUGCUUUCUUCAUGUGUAGCAGUAGUGCAUUUUGGUGCAGUCUCAUGCCUCUGUGCUAGGUAGCUCACAACUGAGUAUAUGGAUAAGGCUGAACAGUCUUUACAAGCUCUUAGGAGGAUAUCUUAGGAACACCUAACUGUCUGCUUGCGAGCUGGGGCACUCAUGGCAGUGCUUUCAUAUCCGGAUUUCUUCUUCAUGGAGGUCCAACGAGUGGCCUUGUCGACUGCUGCAAAUAUGUGCAAGAAACUCCCUUCAGAUGCAGCUGACUUUGUGAUGGAAGUUGUCCCUUUGUUGACGAAAGUGAUCAUAACUUUCCACCCUCAACCCCAUCACCAUGCUCGUCCAUCACGGAUGUCCCUAUCUAUUAUAUCCAUCACUUUCAACCUCAUCUAGGCACCCAAAUCUCACUGCAUGACCACUCAACAUUCCCCCCAAGCCUCCUUUUAAGAGCCCUAAGUUCCUACUUACCCUCAUGCACGAGAAACCCACGUCAAUGACCACUUUUCAUACCCCCCAUGCAUGCCCAUCUCCCUCUCCAUUGCUAUCCCCACCACUACCUGCCAUUCUAGGAAUCCCAUGGUGGCUGUUGCCGCCGUUGCCGCCUCCAACGCCAAGAAUGGUAGCCACAUCAACCCACUCCUAUCUGAUUCCAACGCCGAAGGCCCCUCCUUCCCCAGCAUGUCCGUCUUGACCGUGCAGCCAGCUGCCAUGAGGAACGGCCUGGCCGAUGCGCCCCGUCAGCUCCUGGCCGCCUCUCUGUCGCCGCUCAGUCCACCCUCAGCUAUCCUCGUCGCUGCGUGGAGGUGAACGUGUGUAGACAAUCACCAUCAAUCAUCAAAAAGGCUGUCUUUGGGCUUGAAUUAAAGCACUAGGCCCAGCUGUGGUGGUAAUGGAGUCUUGAGUUUGCUCUUGGUGACGGGUUUGGGCUUGAGUUGGAGCCCAACCCAACCAUGUUGAUGAAGNNNNNNNNNNNNNNNNNNNNNNNNNNNNNNNNNNNNNNNNNNNNNNNNNNNNNNNNNNNNNNNNNNNNNNNNNNNNNNNNNNNNNNNNNNNNNNNNNNNNNNNNNNNNNNNNNNNNNNNNNNNNNNNCCCCCCAUGCUAGCCACCCUCAUUGGCCCAUGCCCACAUCAAUUUAGCCCAUUAGGUUGCCCAAAUCCUAAAUAAUUCUCUUAAAAAUCUCUAAUAUCUAUAAUUAAUUAAUUUAAUCAUUCCCUUUUAUUUGUUAUCUUAUUCUAUUUUUACCAAUUUAGUUAACUCAAACUUAAAGACAAUUAAAAAACAAAUUCUUAUUAUUAAUUAUAUUUUUAUCUCGAAAUUUAUACUAUUUAAUUUUACUAGUUUAAACAUUAUGAUUGUUGAUUAUUAUUAUUGUUUCGUAUGUAUCCAUUUAUCAUCUUUUAAAAAUCUCAUUCAUUAAAGUUAAAUUCUAAUCCUUCAAAAACCCUAUGUCUUAAAUCUAAUCUUUACAUAAUCCGUUCAAGUCUCAUUUUCAUCAAUUGGAAUUAUUAUCAUAUAAUUAUCUAGUUAUUUAAAGUCUAACCCUUUCAAAAAUCCCACAUCUUAAUCUAAUUUUUCUAUAAUUGGUUUAAAUCUUAUUUUCAUUAAUUAGAAUUAUAAUAUCGUAUUUAUCUAGUUAUUUAAAGUCUAAUCCUUCAAACAUUCUAUAUUUUAAUUUAAUUUUUCAAUUCUAAAAAAAUCCACAAUUCGUUUAAACCUUAUUUUUAUCAAUUAGAGUUAUUAUCCCAUAUUUAUCUAGUUAGUUAAAUUUUAAUCCUUCAAAAACCUUAUGUCUUAAAUCUAAUAUUUCCAUAAUCCGUUCAAGUCUCAUUUUCAUCAAUCAGAAUUGUUAUCAUAUAAUUAUCUGUUAUUUAAAGUCUACCCCUUUCAAAAAUCCCAUAUCUUAAUCUAAUUUUUCUAUAAUUGGUUUAAAUCUUAUUUUCAUUAAUUAGAAUUAUAAUCUCAUAUUUAUCUAGUUAUUUAAAGUCUAAUCCUUCAAACAUUCCAUAUUUUAAUUUAAUUUUUCAAUUCUAAAAAAUCCACAAUUCGUUUAAACCUUAUUUUUAUCAAUUAGAGUUAUUAUCCCAUAUUUAUCUAGUUAUUUAAAGUCUAACCCUUUCAAAAGUCCUAUGUCUUAAUCUAAUCUUCAAUAAUCAGUUCAAAUCUCAUUUUCAUCCGUUAUAAUUAUUAUAACAUAUUUAUCUAGUUAUUUAAAGCCCAAUCCUUCAAAAAUCCUAUGUCUUAAUCUAAUAUUUCAAUAAUCCGUUCAAAUCUCAUUCUCAUCAAUUAGAAUUAUUAAUCAUAUACUUAUCCAUUUAUUCAAAGCCUAAUCCUUCAAAAAUCCAACGCCCUAAUUUAAUUUUCAAUUAAAAAGACUCCACUACUCAUUUUAUUUAUUUAUUUAUUAUUCGUUUAAACAUUAUUUUGUUAAUUAGCAUCAUUACUCCAUAUUUAUUUAUUUAUUUAUUUCAAUCAUUAACACUCAAUUCUUCAAAACCAGAUUUCCAAAUUUAAUCUUUAGACUAAAAAACUCCUCAUUCGCUUUUAUUCAUUUAAAUAUCAUUUUUGUUAUCAUUAUUAUAAAUUCCAUGUUUACUUAUUUCUUUCUUCUAAAACUUCCAAUAAUUAAAGUUCAAUUAUUCAAAGAUCCGACUUUCAAACUUAAUUUUCAAAAUUCCAUUAUUCAUUUUUUUUAUCUAUUUAAAAUGUUAUUUCCUUUAAUUAGCAUUAUCAUUCCCUAUUUAUUUACUUAUUCUAAUCGUUAAAGUUUAAUUCUUAAGAAUCCGGCUUUUCAAAUCUGAUUUCCAAUCUCAAAAGCUCCAUCGUUCAUAUACCGCCGUUUAAUGAUGAAAAAUAGAGAAAAAUUGAACCAAGACAAAAAGAACUUCAACUUGAUGACAUUUAGGAACUUAGGAAGACAACCAUGACUCAAAAAUAUGCAACAAGAUGUCCUAGACAAGUUUUAGAGGAUGUCAACGAAGUGUGCAUAAACCUAUGGAUCUUCUAAGUGAUUCAAACCUAGACACAUCCAAAGGUUUAGUGAGAAUAUCAACAAUUUGACCCUCUAUUGGAACAUAUUCCAAGGAUACAACUUUGUCUUCAACUAAGUCACGAAUGAAGUGAUGUCUAAUGUCAAUGUGUUUUGUUCUAGAGUGAAUAACGGGGUUCUUGGAGAUGUUGAUGGCACUAUAAAACACAACCAUGGUUCUUUGAUCAAUUCCAUAAUUUUUAAACAUUUGCUUGAUCUAUAGAAGCUGAGAGCAACAACUUCUGACGACAAUGUAUUCAACUUUAGUUGUCGAGAGUGAAACGAAGAUUUGUUUCUUACUCAUCCAAGCAACCAAACAAUUUCUUAUAUAAAAACAAUCACUUGAAGUGCUUUUCCUAUCAUCCACAUUUCCAGUCCAAUCAGCAUCAGCAUAAGAAUGAGUGUCAAAUAGAUACCAAAGGCCUAGCUUUAAAGUACCAGCAAUGUACCUAAUGAUGAGCUUAAGAGCUAUGAGAUGAGAUUCCUUAGGAUAUGCUUGAUACCUAGCACACACUCCAACACUAAAAGCUAUGUCCGGUCUACUAGAAGUGAGGUAUAUAAGGCUACCAAUCAUGCUCAUAUAUAAUGUUUUUUGUAUCCUUUUUUUGGAUUCAUCUUUACUUAGCUUUAGGUUGAUAGGCAUUGGUGUCCUAAAAUGUUUGGUUGACUCAAGCCCAAACUUUUUGACAAGUUCUCUUACAUACUUGGAUUGGGAUAAGAAAAUCCCAUCCUUGAGUUGUUUCACUUGGAAACCAAGAAAGUAAGUCAAUUCCCCUACCAUGCUUAUUUCAAACUCACUUUUCAUAUUUUUGGAAAAAUCUAAAGCCCACUCAUUGGAGAUAGAGCCAAACACUAUGUCAUCCACAUAGAUUUGUGCUACCAAGAACACUUCAUCAUUUCUCCUAAUAAACAAUGUUCGAUCUGCUCCCCCUCUCAUGAAUCCUUUCAUAAGAAGAUAGGAUGUGAGUAUUUCAUGCCAAGCUCUAGGAGUUUACUUUAAACCAUAGAGGGUUUUUCUAAGUCUAUAAACAUGAUUAGGAUACCUAGAGUCUUGAAACCAUUUAGGUUGUUCCACAUACAUUUUUUCAUUGAGAAUCCCACUAAGAAAGACACUCUUGACAUCCUUUUGAAACAAUUUAAAUUUCCAUGUGCAAGCUACAACGAAGAGUAUUCAAAUGGAUUCAAGUUUUGCAAUUGGAGCAAAGGUUUCAUCAAAAUAAAUUCCCUCAAUUUGCUUAAACCCUUGAGCAACCAACCUAGCUUUAUUUCUCACAAUCACUCCAUUUUCAUCCAUCUUAUUUUUUAAAAUCCAUUUUGUUCCAAUGACAUUCACAUCCUUUGGUCUAGGCACUAAGAACCAAACUUCAUUUCUAGAAAAUUGAUUUAGCUCUUCAUGAAGAGCCUCUACCCAAGCUUCAUCAUUCAAGGCUUCUUCAACAUUUUUUGGUUCAAUUUGGGAGGUAUAGCAAACAUAACUUAUCUCAUUUAGCUUGGCUUGUCUCCUUGUUACCAUGUUAUCCUCAUAGUUCCCAAUCAUAUUGCUCAAUGGAUGGUUUUUAGGUACCUUUGACUUAUUUUUCUUUGAUGGCUCAAUUCUCUCCCUAUUUCAUUUCUUUCCUUGCUCUUCUCUAUUUUCUUCCUUAACUUUUCAUCUUCAGAUUUUUCUUUAAUCAAUUCAAUCUCUUUUGACACAUCAAUUCUAUCCUCAUCACACUUUCUUGACCUUGAUCCUAGAUCAUCCACAAUCACAUUGAUUGAUUCCACCAUACAUUUUUGUUGAUUUUCGUGGAGCGAUUUAUGGUGAAAAUUAGAGAAAACGAAAAGAAAAACACAGAUUUAUCGUGGUUCGGUAGAUUGCUUACGUCUACAGGAACAAGGAAGAAGACUUUCACUAUAUCUCUAAUUAGGGUUACAUAAAAGGGUAUUUUACUAACCCUCAAAUAACAAAAAAAAUCCAAAAAUACCCCUAAAUCGUAUUGUGGGAGGGCGUUGCCCUCAUAUACCCCCCAACCUAUCGUUCACCCUCAACAAUAAAAAUACAAGCUUGAAUAGAAAAUGUCAUCACUUCACUCCAAAAUUUGCCCAUUAAAUAUAUAUAUAUAUAUAUAUAUAUAUAUAUAUAUAUAUAUAUAUAUAUAUAUAUAUAUAUCUUUCACUCAAUAUGAACCGCAUAUUACAACAAAUUUGAACUCAAAAUGUAUGCUCUAUAUGCCCAACUUUUGGUGGAAUAUCCCUUCAUCACUCUUAGACUCAGAAACUCACCAAGAUUUUCAUGAUCUUUCAAGACAUAACAUCUACUUCCAAACACCCUAAAGUACUUCACACUAGGUUUCUUUCCUUUCUAUAGCUCAUAACAAGUCUUCUUAAUGUGAGAACGUAAGUGAACUCUAUUGGAAGUAUAACAAACUAAGUUGAUGGCUUCAACCCAAAAAUGUGCAGGAAGUUCAUGCUGAUUUAGCAUUGUUCGGGCCAUUUCUUGAAGGACAUAAUUCUUUAUCUCAACUACCCUUUUUUUUAGGUGUUAUAGAAGUGGAAAACUUAUGUUUGAUUCCUAAAGAAUGACAAAAUUCUAGAAAAUCAAAAUUAUCAAAUUCUCUUCUCCUAUCACUCCUAACUUUUUCAAUGGGAUACCCUUUUUCAUUUUGAAUUUUCAAACCAAUGUUCUUGAAAUUUAUAAAUGCUUCACUUUUAUUUCUUAGGAAUGCAACCCAUGCCUACCUAGAAUAAUCAUCAACCAUCACCAAAAUGUAUUUCUUGCCUCCUAAACUCUUAGUUCUUAUUGGUUUCAUGAGGUCCAUGUGUAAGAGUUCUAAAGGUUUAGAGGUCAAAAUUUUAUCCACUCUCUUAUGUGUACUCCUAUUUUGUUUUCCCUUUUGACAAGUACCACAAAUAGGAUUAGAAGGUUUUCCAAGCCUAGGAAUCCCUUUGAUGACUUCAUUAUUAGCAACCUUCAUCAAGUCAUGGUAGUUUAAAUGACCCAACCUAUGGUGCCACAAAUCAAUUGAUUCAAAUUUUGAAAUAACACACAUAAGGGAAGAAGAAGAAGAAGUUGAAGGAUUUUGACAAACAACAUAACAAUUAUCUGAAGUUCCUAAUCCAAUCAUCACAUAAUUUCCAUUCAAAUCAAGCACUUCAUAUAAAUUUUGUGAACAUUGAACUUCUUGUCACAUAUUUGACUAAUGCUAAUCGAGGUAGCUUUCAAUCCUUCCACAUAUAGGACCUCUUCAAGGUUAGGGAUGUCGGGAGCACAAAUUGUGUCUUUCCCUUUCACACUAGCAAUAUUACCAUCACCAAAAGUCACAUUUCCUCCAUCAAAUUCAAUGAAAUUAGUUAAGAAUGAUCUAUUACCUAUCAUAUGACAUGAACAACCACUAUCAAAGUACUACGAGUGUGACUCAAUAGCCCUAAGUGCAAUGUGAACAACAANNNNNNNNNNNNNNNNNNNNNNNNNNNNNNNNNNNNNNNNNNNNNNNNNNNNNNNNNNNNNNNNNNNNNNNNNNNNNNNNNNNNNNNNNNNNNNNNNNNNUUGUAACAACCUAUUUUUAAAAGGGAAUGAUUCAUUCAUUAGGUUGGUCAACUUUCUUUGUAAACUCUUAAACAUCUUAGCACAACAUCUAUCAACGGUGUGUCCCAUUUUAAUGCAAUGAAGUUUCAGUUUAGAGAGGGUUUUCUUAGGGAACACUCCUUCACAAGGCUUGACAAAAAUUGUUUUAUCACUACUUGGAGUGGUAGUUUCAUCAACAAAACCUAAACCUUUUUUAUCAAAUGAUUUCAUCUGCGAAUUGAUCAAAUCACUAAGUCCUUUAGAGUUAGGAUGUGACUCUUCUUUCCUAAGACUCAACUCAUUCUUACACACUUGAUUUUCAUUCUUCAAUUCAUCACACAUUUUCUUUAUGUCAAAGUGUUCCCUCAAAGUGUUCACAUUUUCUUUAGAAUUUUAACCUCAUUGAUUAAACUCCUUUUAGAAGCCUUCCACUCAACUUGUUCCUGUUUGAGACUUAAGCACUCCUUAUACAAAGUCUCAUAUGCAUAGUCAAAACUUAUCUCAUCACCAUCAGAGUCACUUACCUCACAAGACUCACCAAGAACCUCUUUCUUGAGUGGUUCUUUAAUGACACUUGCCAUAAAAGCUGUGAAAUUAGUGCAUUCCUCACUUGCAUUAGAUUCUUUUUCACUUGAUUGACAUGAUUCCGUGUCACUCCAAGUGACUUGCAUGACUUUUUUUCUUUUUUUCUUUGAGGGACAUUCGGUGGCAUAAUGCCCAUUUUCCCCACACUUGAAGCACUCAACCUCAAGGUCCUUUUUUAUAUUCUUGUCUUUCUUUUUGUCUUUUACAUUUGAUUUUUCCAUUGAAUUGUUCCAUUUUUAAGCAUCUUCCUUGGACUUUUUCUUAUAUUUCCUGAACUUCAUGUAUUUUUUGAAUUUUCUAGCAAAUCUAGCAACUUCUCUAUUUGACAUUUUCUUAUCACCCUCACUUUCAGAACCUAAGGACUCAUCUUUAAUGGCAUUUGAGGCAAUGACUUUGAUUUCCUAGGGGAUUCAAGAGUUAUUUCAAAGGUUUGGAGUGAGCCUACAAGUUCAUCUACUUUCAAGGAAUCCACAUCCUUAGACUCUUCAAUGGUAGUGACUUUUGCGCUAAAUCUCUCAGGAAGAGAUCUUAGAAUUUUUCUAACCACUUUCGAGUUAGGGAUGGGCUCACCUAGAUUAAAGCUAGAAUUCAUAAUGUCCAUUAGCUUUGCAUGAAACUCUCCAAAUUUCUCAUGAUCUUCCAUCCUAAUUGUCUCAAACCUAGCGGUCAACAUUUGAAGUUUGGACACUUUCACAACAUUAGUUCCUUCAUGAGUCACUUAGAGGAUAUCCCAAGCCUCCUUAGCCGAAGUACAUGUAGCUAUCCUAUAGAAUUCAUUUGUGCUAAUAGCAUUAAAGAUGGAAUAUAUGACUCUAGCAUUGUUCUCACUAGCUUCAUUGCCACCUCUAUCCCAUUCCAACUUAGGCUUAAUAACAUUUGUUGGUCUACCUUCUUUAUUCAACAUCUUAGGUGCAAACUAACCAAAUUCAACGACAUUCCAAACUUUUUCAAUUUGCAUUUUGAAAAAAUAUUGCAUUUUCACUUUCUAAUGAGAAUAAUUUUCGUUGGUUAAGAAUGGUGGUCUCCUAAUGAAAGAUCCCUCUUGAUGAGGCUCCAUAAUUGAAAUUCAAGGAUUGAAAAUGAUUUUUACUUUAAAAACCUACUCUGAUACCAAUUGAAAGGUGAAUCUCAAUAAUGGACUAUACCUAAAAUGGGAGUGAAUAGGUGUUGUUGAACUAUAAAAAAAAUUUUCCAACAAAGAUUACCUAACCUUAGAAUUUCUCAAUAUCAAUAAACUUCUCUUCCAAGUAUGUAUGUAUGCACCAACACUCUCUCAACAAUUUAUAAAUGCAAUUCACAUGCAAAUGCUCAAGUAUCCAAUGAUAUCAAAAAUUGAAAAUAAAACAAAGAGUGGAAUGAGAGAAAGAGACAUUUGACACCAGAUUUUAAUGUGGAAAACCUCCGAAAAGAUAAAAAACCACGAGUCUACUAUUGAUAAAAAAAUCUACUACGAAGAAUAAAAACUGAAUACAAGGUUUUACCUAACUCAAGUCAACCAAUCCUUCUUGAACCACUUGACUAGUACCUUCACUUUUAGCUUCUUACCUUUUUCUUCUAGAGCACACUUGGAGUUUGCACCAAACUUGAUCUCAACCUUUUCUUGAAUUCACACAAGAAGAAAAAUGAGUUUUUUUUUACACAAAACCAAGAGAAUAAGAGAUGAAUGUUUUAGAAUCAACCCAUGCUCAUUUUUCGAAAAUCUAUUAAAAAAAAAUUCUUGUAAAACUUGGAUGCAUUUUAUUAGUAGGCAAAGACCCUUAAAAUGGUGAGGAAAGAAAAACUCUCUCACGGCUGCUGCAGUCACCACUUUUAGAAAUGGGAGAAAUUUGAUUUUAAAUGAGAAUGAAACCCUUAAUACAAGGGUUGAAAAAUGAUCUUAAAAAUAGGUUAGUUGGAUCAAUCUGCCCUACACUUGGAUCAAUCUAGAAACAAGGGAACAAAAGCCUUUCACUAAAAAAUAUUUCUCCCAACUUUCUUAACUCUUUUAAAGAUGAAAAACAGGGUUGAUUCAUAUUCAAUCACCAUACACUCAACUACAUACCUUAGCCUCUUAGCAAAGUUUUAAUCUUCAAAAGUCAAGUAGUCCGAAAAGGAAUUGGAAAACCGAGUUAGGGAACAUUUAGGAAUUUUGUUUGGAAUUUCCAACCUAGCUAAACACUCACAUCUAUCAUUGGGGUUAACUACCUAGUCAAUAUUGGAAAAGGCAUGAAGACGGAGUGGAAAAUUCUUAUGCAAUAAGAGACCAUGAUGAAGUUUACCAACCAAAUAACAAAGUAGAUGCUUGAUUGUGGACCAAUGCAUGAUGGUGGUUGGACACAUAAACUGGGAACAAUCCCACCUCUAGGAGAUAUUUUGGACUUCCAUGAACAGGAGGUCAAUGUGAACUGCAAUCAACUUUAGUUCCUCACUGAACUUCCUAUUCUUUAGCAUAUGAGUAUCAAUAGACUGGAACUAAAACAAAGUACAAAGUUUUUAAUAUAUUGAUUGAAAAAAUGAUAAAUGACCAAAUGAUCAAAAAUGAGAGAAAUUGCAAAUUGGAUAAUGAAUACAUAUCAUGGACGAGACACAAACUAAAGAGAUCAUAGAUUUGAGAGUAUGGUGGAAGUAAAAUUGUGUCAAUUUAAUGACUUUUUUUAUUGUACAUCGAUUUAAAAAUGCAAACCUUUAAAACUUCGUGACUUUUUCAAACUUAUUAUUUUAUGAAACAAUUUGGCAGUAAAUAAUAAAAAUUGAAGCUAUUAAAAGUAAGAAGAAACAUUGGAUUGCAAAACUGAAAUAUAUUAUGGAUGAUAUGCUUGAAUCAAAGAACAUAAAUAUUUUAUGAGUCAAUCAUCCAUUACCUUUGAAGCUCAAAUUCAAUUUCAAUUCUGGAAACAUUGAAGAACUGAGGGGCACAUCCCCUUCUGGCGAUGAUUCAAAUUCAGGGCAUACAACAUUUUGAAGCUCAUUAAGAGAUCUUUGGUUGUUUAUCCAGUCUAAUAAAGUUGCUAAACAAGAAUAGUGUUUUAAGAAUUUCUAGAAUGGUAACUAACAUUUUGAUGUCCCAAUGAUUAAGACACCAAUUCAAGCUCCUAAGUCCUUGCAAUUUGCAUGUGAACCUCAUCCCCAUUAUCUAACAAAAGAAGUUGUCUCCAACAUUAUUCAAGGUAUCAAAGUUAAAUGACAUUGAAUCCACUGGUGGAGAUGUAUAUCAUGAUAGUUAAUUUUAACCAUGAAAAUGCAUAUCAUUAGUAAUUGAUAUCUUUAAAGAUUCGAUUUGCAAACCAACAAAGUUCAAACUAAAUUAUAAUAUGACUAAUGGUAAUAUCAAUGGACUAUUGUUUCUCUCUUUUCUAACUCCACUUGGUUAUAGUUGAUGUUGAAGAAAAUAGUAUAAAGCAGACCAAUAACUUCUGUUUCGUUUAUCCUAAUACAUACAGAGAGAGUAGAGACAAGACAAGUAGUACUAUUGAAUUUUUUUUCCUUUACUUGAUCCAGUAAUAAACAAAAUUAUAAAUGAGUACAACACCCUCAAUAUAUCAAUAGUAAAAUUUACGAUGCAGCAGCCAUCCCUACUUGGAGAAGGAUUGCCUGAAAUUUAUGUCCACCAGCAGAUUUGAAUUGAAAACAGAGCAAAAGCCCGUUCUGCGUUAGUCAUCUAAUAGAAUAUGAAUUUAUGGGUCAUGUGAAAUCUUUAGGGCGAUCCAAGACUUGUGUCCUUCUAGCAUCCCUUUGGGCAUUAAGCCAAUCAUAAGCUUCUUUAAGGAAGGUGAAAUUUGUGACAAUGGUUUGAAAAUGGAAAUCAAACUUGCAGAUCUAAACAUUUUAACAAACAUAUGAGGUUCAAAUAUAAAUGAAAACGCAGCAUUUUGCAUGUAAGAUAAUAAAAUUGAGAAGAAAGUUGGGUGAAAAUGACAUUCUGUAUCCCUAAGUUGAGUGAUCAUGAAAAUGCUUCAUGAUCUUCGACACGAAUAUGUGGGAUAUGAGCAAUCUUGGGCCAGUCUUCACCUAUUUCCUCUCGACAUUUUUCUGUUAGGUGCUUACAAUAAUAUAUAUUAAGUUGUGUAAGUGAGGUGAGGCAGCCUAUCCAGUGUGGUAAUGCUGCCAAAUGACAACAGUGUUCAAUUGUGAGACAUUGAAGAGUUGAAACAUGUUGAAGCAGCUCAUCUGGGAGAGAUGUCAUAUCAGCCAUGUUGUUCAUACAUAGCAUCUCCAACGAAGAUUGUGAGACAAGAACUAACUGCCGUAAUACCUCAGUUCUCUCGUUAUGCCGGUAUAGAGUCUUAAGAGAAGGUAAUGAAGACACUUGCAAGGAUGUCAACUUGGCCCAACCGUUGAUCUUUAACUUAGAAAGAAGAGGAGAUGAACACAAUUCCAUGGAUGUCAACUCAUCACAAAAGUUGAUCUCUAAAUGUGUAAGAAGAGGAGAUGAAUGCAGUAGUAAGGGUGCCAGCUUGCAGCAUUGUCGGAUCUCUAACCCAGAAAGAAGAGGAGAUGAAUGUAGUUCCAAGAAUGCCAAGUCACCACAAUAUUCGAUACCUAAUUGUGAAAGAAGAGGAAAUGGUGGCAGUAGUAAGGAUGUCAACUGAGGGCAAGAAGUGAUUUCUAUUGUAGAAAGAAGAGAAGAUGGAGGCAGUUCCAAAGAUGCCAAGUCAUGGCAAUACGUGAUCUGUAAUCGCGAAAGACAAGGAAAUGAAAAAGGUGGGUGUGUUGGAGGUAAGUCCCUCUUCCACAACUCCUUUAACUUUGGCAUUUGAUUGACAUUGAGGUUUUCAAGAGAUGGGAAGAAUGGCCCUUUUGAUGAACACUCCUCCAUGCACUCCACAUUUUCUAAAUAAUCAAGCUGUAGAGACUUGAGGUGCGGAAGUCAAACGAAGCAUGGCAGAGUGUGGCAUCUUGAACAUCCUUCCAAAUUAAUUGUGAUGAGGUUAGGUAGCAUGGUACUCAACCCACCAUUCAUCAUCCAACUAGGAAACCUCAUUCCACCAUAACCUUUUAGGUUUGGAUGUGGUUGCAGGCCUUCCAUCGGUGAUUCGGAAUCUUCACUCGAUUGGGCUCCUCGGUACCACCACUCUAAUCUUAAAGAUUGAACAUAUUUUUUCUCCUUUAAAUUUGCUUUCCUGGAUUCUACCACGACAUCCCUCACAUUUUGGAGAUUUUCAAUCCUUAGUUCUCCUUUGAGAUUGUUAAGCCCUUUCAAUUCACUCAAUCUACCAAUUUCAUGAUCAUCCCUGAAUCCCCCUCCCCUAUUUCCAACAAUGAAUACCCGUAGGGUUUGAAGCAAAGUCAACUCUCCUAUUCCACAUGGCAUAUGAGUCACACCACAACACCCAUUAUUCUCUAAGUGCCUAAGAUUGAUCGAUUCUCUUAUAUCUUUGGGAAAUUCUUUUAAUUUAAAGCAUUGAGCAAGCUGUAAUAUUUGCAAAUUUUUUAACUUUGUAAUACUAUUUGGGAGUAUCUCAAAUUUAUUUUUGGAGAGAUCGAGAUAUCUUAGAUGAGUCAAUUGGUCUAGACACUUUGGUAUUGAAUUUAAAUAGAAAUGAUUUAGGCCCAACACACGUAAACCCUUAAAACUUGAACUUGAAAAGGUUGAAUUAAAAAUUACAUUCUCUUUACUAUCAUAUUGAUUAGAUCUUUUAAUACUUAAAAGGGUCCUUAUGUGUUUCACCUUCAAAGCUGUCAACUUGAGAUUUGGUCCAGAUAAUGAAACAUGAAGAACUUCUUUUGAGAUCUCCUUCACAUCAUCAUUUAAAGUAAGGACCUCAGAUCCUAUAACUGAUUGUGCAAGAUCAUGGAUAAGAUCAUACAUUUUACAACUUAAUAAAUUAUUAUAAGCAUCCUUUUCAAACUCUUCCAACAAUAAUCUUGACAAUAAUCCCUCAAAAUAUUCAUCCCCUACAUCCUCAUCUAAAAUAUAGCCUUGCGCUAUCCAUAACUCUACCAACAAUUUUUUCUCAAUUUCAUAGUCUUUUGGAAAUGAUGCACAAAAAGUAAAACAUUGUUUCAAAUGUAUUGGUAGAUUAUCAUAGCUUAGCUUUAAUACUGAUAAAAUAUUAUCAUUUCCAAUUCCAAGUGACAAUAAUUUUUCAGUAUUUUUUAUGGACAACCAUUGACUUUCUUCGGUUUUCAAGUACAAUAUUGUUCCUAAUGUUUUGAUGACAAGCGGAACUCCAUUACACUUGUUUACAAUUUCUUUUAAAAUUUCUACAAGGUUUGGAUGAACUUUUUCUUGUCCUUCCCUAAAUGCUAUUUUUGAAAAUAAAUCCCAAGAUUGAGUUUCUUUCAAACAUUUCAAAACAAAUGGAGAAUCAAUUCCCAUGAUUGACGCAACCUUAUAAUUUCGAGUUGUCACUUCAAUUUUACUCUCCUUUCCAACAACCAUCAACAAAAUUCUCAAUUGAUCCCAUUUGUCAAAGCUUUCAUUCCAAACAUCGUCUAGUACUAGCAAGCAUCUCUUUUGACUUAAUUUUUCAUGGAGGAGAUUUUUUAGACCAUUCAACUCCAAUCUACAUCUUCCUUGCGUACUUCUUUUAAGAUUUCUUAACCAAUGACUUUACAUCAAAAUUAUUAGAAACACAAACCCAUAUUCUAGGUUCAAAAUAUUGUACUACUCUCUCAUUGUUAUAAACCAAUUGAGCAAGGGUGGUCUUACCCAACCCUCCAAUGCCAACAAUGGCAACCAUGGAAAAAUUUCUUGAUUAUCAGACGACAACAACAACUUUACAAUCUCCUCUUUGUCUUCAUCUCUUCCUACUAUUUCAAAUGUUAAUACAUGUGAGUGAGUGUCUCUCCUACUACUCUCCAUUCCCCUAUGAGUUAUGUCCCGUUGAAUAAGAUUCAGCAGAGGGAUUUCUUUUGCAAUAUCAUCUACCCGUUCUGUGAUAUCCUUGACUUUAUUGCUCAUCUUAGAACGAAGAUGAGAAGAAGUCACUGACCUUCCUUGCUACUCCUCGUUGCAGCUGAUGGGUUGCAAAGUCAUCCAACAUGUCAUCAGCAUCAUACACAAAGUCUUUGAGCCUCCUCACCCAAGCUUUUACCGCAUGGCUUUCCUCCUGCUUCUCCUCAGCAUCAAGAAAUACAGCUUUGAUGGUGUCCAGUUUCUCCUCCAGCUUUCUGAGCUCCUUUGGAACACCAUAAAUGGAUCUAAUUUCUUGAAUGGCCGAGGAACCUAACUUGGCUAAGAUGUUAGCUAUAAUAUUGAACGGGAUUUGUUCAGCCAUUUUUUUGAAGAGCUGAAACUGCAGAAGACCAAGAAAGUAAUGGUUUAGAAAAUGAGAAGUGGGGAGGAUUGUAAGAGAGAAUACUUGAAAAGUAGUGAUACAUAGCUAGUGAGAGGACAAUAGAAGUCCCAUGUUGUGGACCCAAUAUGUUAUAUACUAUAAUAUGCAUAACAUAAGAUCAAUGGUGUUACAUAUUUGAAAGAAACCAAAAUGUAGGUGGCCAAGAAAGUAUAAAAUUGAACAUGUGAAAUGAGAGCAAUAUAAGGGAGAGAAUAAACAAGUAAAAAACAACUGGAAUUCACAUGGAAGCAAUUAAAAUAAUGUGUUUUAAAUGAAAAAAUUAUUGUUAUGAAAUAAUGAGGACUUUAAUUUCAUUCUUAUUUCGAUGAGUCAAACACACCUAAAUCAACUUCUAAUGAUGAUAAAAGAUAGAAAAUUUGAGGAGAACGAGGAUAGGAGGCAAGCUAGUCAUAUAGGGGGUUGCGGAUUAGGUGGACAGGGGCGAACUCCCAUGCAUGCAACAUAAUUAUUUUAGACUAGUUUCAAUUUAAGCAAUUUAAAUAUUAAUUAAUUCAAUUUUUUUUAGUUUUAAAUUAUUUUUAAAAGUUAUUAAAUUAGUUAAUAAAUCUAAUGCAUUAUGUUUCAUUUGAUUUUUUAAAGUUUUUUAACCUAUCGACAAAACUCAAGAAAGUUGGUGAACUUAUUAAGGGAACUAUAAGUCAUUCAAUGGUUAUAGUAGUGCAUGUGCGAGCAUGGGAUAAUGCAUAUUUUGAUAAGGGUUAGUACAUGCAUAAACAAAUAAUAACACACCCAUGUGAUUAUUAGUUCCAAUUAAAGCGUCUUGGAAUUUCUCACUAGGCAUACAAGUUUGGAAUUGAGCAACUUUAAUGCUUUGGAUUUAUUAACAUGUUCAAUCAUUUUAAAAAAUAGUUUGAAACUAAAAAAUUAAGGGAAUUAAUAUCAUAAUUCCCAAAUUGGGCUAGAAUGAUUGUCAAUUCCUCUUCUCCAUAUAAUUAUAUUUAAAAAAAAAUUAUAGGCAAAUGACUCCAAAUCAAGUGUGAGUUGAUAUGUUAGAUUUUUUAACGAGUCUAAUAAUUUUUAAAAAUAAUUUGGAACUAAAAUACUAAACCAAUUAAUAUCUAUUUUCUUAUAAUAAAACUAAUCAAGAAUGAUUAUGCUAGUUUUUUCUCUCUAUAUAACUAUCAUUUUUAAUUUUUCUCUAUAUAAGAAUAAUUUUUCAAAUUUUUGAAUAACUGAUUUUUACAUCAAGUGAGAUUUAUGUUUGAAUUCUUGAAAGAGCUUAAUAAUUUUAGAAAUAGUUGCUAGAAAACUUUAAUGGACUGGUCCAUAGUAUCAUAUCAAUAUUUAAGAAAAAAUUUAAUUUAUUUAUAUAUUUAUAAAAUUAAACUAAUUUUGUUAUAAUUAAUUUUAGACAAAAUAUUAUUAAUUAUUAUAAUUAAAAUUAUAAUAAUAAUAAAACACAAACAAUGAAUUUAAAUUUGAUAUAAAUAUAAUAUUAAAAUUGAAGUAAUUGAACAAUUAGAAUUAAUACUUAAAUUGAACCAUAAUCAUAAUUUGUAAUAGUACUAGUUCACUAACAUACCUGGAAUUGUUGCUGAUGUCUGAUUUGGAAUAGAUCUGCAGCUUCGGCACAAGCCUCAAAAUUGUAAAAUUUUAAAAGAAAUAAGAAAAAUUAAGAUGCAAUUUAGUACGGGAUUUAGAAAGCUUUCAAGUGGAUUGUGUAGAGGAAAUGGAAUUGGUAUGGAGUAUUUAUAGGCAAAAUAUGGACAAAAAAAUAGCGAAAUGAUUUUGACUGUUGGAUCACAUUCAGAUCCAAAUCUAACUGUUGGAUCAUGAAAUAGCAAAUAAAAAACGAUAUCAGGGAUCAUUUCCAACCGUUGGAUGGGAGAGACGUUGGGAGGAGGGGGCCAGCGUCUCCUAGGAGUGGCAAAACGCAUUUGUUUCCUUCGAUUAAUGUGGAUUAGUGUGUGGAUGCAAUUAUUAUAAUAAUUUGCUGACUGUGGUGUUGGGAACAGGGGAGGCGUGCAUGUCAGCAUUCACAUGCAAAACCGAGCUUCCAUAACGUAAUUUUUAACGCUUUGAAAGUGUCACAAAUAGUAGAGAAAUCAUAAUAAGAAUUUGAAGGACCAAAAAAAUUAUAAAUAUAUAUAUAUAUAUAUAUAUAUAUAUAUAUAUAUAUAUAUAUAUAUAUAUAUAUAUAUAUUGUAAAGUGUGUAGGAAAAUAUAAUAAAGAAUGUGAAAAAUGUAACGUGAAAGUGUGGUUUUGAUUGGUGUGACACCAUGUCUGAGUGUACUUAGGUUAAAAAUCUACGAUAAAUAAUGACAACUUAUGUUGAAGCAAGUGAAUUUCAUAUGCAGAGCUCACGGUUGGGAAAAUCACGGCACCAAUACAAAAUAGAAAAAAUAAAUGAAACAAAGAAAAUAAAAUAUUCACAUGCUUUGAUAUCAUUUUCUACAUUCAUGUGACAAGCAAAUCAAAUUUAUUAUUAAACUUCAAAUAUACACACUUCAAACUUUUUUUCAAGUUUUUUCAAUUCUUUUUUACUUAAAGCCCAAUAUAUCGUGUGCCGAACUCUAUCCAAUCUUUACUCACUUUUUUCUUUUAUAUGCUGAACUGUAUUCACUCUUUACUCACUUUUUCCUUUUAUCUUAAAAUCCAAUAUAAAACCAUAUACCAUCAUAAAAUCUUAUGAAUUUAUACUAAACAAAUAAUUUUUUAAUCCUAAUCAAAUUUUAAAAAGGGAUUUUAUGAAACACAAAUUUUAUAAAUAUUGACUAUCCUAAAAAUAAAAUACAAAUAAUUUGAGUCAGAUACCUACACUCACAUGUUGACCUUUGGUAUAUAUUGAAGUGAUUGAAAGCAAUGCAUUUAGUGGACAAGUUGGGAAAAGCCUAGCUAUAACUUGAGUUUUAAGGCAUAUGAAGAAUUUGCGGAUACAAGGAAAAAAAAAAAGAUUUAGAUAAUCUUAAUAUAUAUAUAUAUAUAUAUAUAUAUAUAUAUAUAUAUAUAUAUAGAAAUUACUUGUUUUCAUAUUUUAUAUUAAAAAAACAUCACUCUCCCUUCUUUUUUUUGUGUGUAUAUAUGUUUGGGGAACAUUAAAGCAAAUAAAAAAAAUAAUAUAAUGAUAUGUAAAAAGAUUUUUUUUUUCUUUUCUUUUAUUAGAAUUGUCCUAGAACAAGGUACAAAUGUACAAUUAAGUAAUUAUCAAAGCUCAAAUAAAUUGAUGUUAGGAGCACUAGAAUAGAAAAUAAUGAUGAAAAAAUAAUUUAAUUUAUAUUGAUUAAUGCAUUUGAAUUUUUUUUUUUUAAAUGGAUAUAUGAAUAAAAAUUUAUUAUUAUGAAAAUCAAAUCUUAUUUUGGAUAAGAUUUUAAUUUUCCCACCUCCAUUUUUAUCUUAUUUUCUUUCAUAAUCGGAUGAACCAAAUACACUUAGAAUCAAAUUUUAAAUGUAAUAAAAGAAUGAGAAAUUGAGGGGAAUUGGAGAAGGGAGUCAAAUAACUAGGGGCAUGUGAGGAGUGUAGAAGUCACAUGGAGCCUUAUAUUAAAAUGCUAAUUUUGUAAGGGAUUAGGUGGACAAGUGGGAAACACACAUGCAUGAAAGCCGUAAUUAUGAGAUAUGCUUGGUUGGUCAAGAAUAUUAAAUGAAAAGGAAUGUAUACAUAGGGUUUAUGAAGAUAACAAAAGAAAUAACAUGGACGUAAUGUCAUAAGAUGCUUCAAAUGACCCUCUUCAUAGGGGUUAUAUAGAGGGUAGAAAGUUUCUGGAGACUCCUACAUUUAACCAUUUGUGGGAAGAGUGUGAAAGGUUUUAAAGAUGCCUAGAGAAGUUCACACAUUUCUACACUAUGGUGAAAGGCAUGAGAGGGGUCCAAAACUUUCUAGAAAAUUCUAAAAAUCUCUUAUAUAUUCUUGUACAUAGGCUUGUACAUAGAAUUAUGUAGGGCAUUCUAGAAUCUUCUUGAUUUGUAAGGAACCCUCUAAGGUUUCAGAGAGUUCCAUUGGUACCUAUAAAUAGGUGAGAGCCUCAUUUGGUCAAGGCACCAAGCAAGUGAGUUCCCAAAGCACUUGUAAAGCUUCCUUUGAGCAAUAAAAGUUUCUAUUCUUUAAGAGUUGCAAACUACGUCUUCUUAAGCUUCCAAGUCGUGAACAUCUUAGCCUAACAAGCUAAGCAUUGGGAGUAAGACUGACUUAACAAGAUCAAACAUCUUGACUUGUCUAAGUGCCAUAUGAGCUUAAGAAAAGACUAAGUUCAUGACAGUAAGGAGUUCAUGAGGAUAGAAGAAGCUAUCAUAUGUGGUUGAUAUGUAUAUACCUAAAAAAAUGACGGUAUAAAUAUAUAAAAAAAAAUUGAGAAUUGAUUGAAAAUAACAAUAAUAAGAACAAAUAAGAUGAGUUUGAUAGUGUUUCUAUUCGAAAUGUUUUCUUUAAAAGUAUUUUUAUAAGAAUCAUUUCUCAACUAUUUCUUUAAAAUUACAACAAGUGAUUUUUCAACACUAUAAAAUGAUUUUUCAAAAUUUUAAAAGUAUUUCCUAAAUUUUACUAAACACCUAGUGCUUGUUUGGAAAUUGUUUUCAAGAACAAGUUUUUGUUCUCUAAAAAAAAAACAUUUGAUAAUCAAAAACAGUUUUUUGUUUUUUAUGAUUAAAAGCAAAAAAUAAGAUGUUUUUAGAUAACAUCUUUUAGUUAUUCUAUGUUAUUUUCACUUGUUUUUGUAUGACUAUUUUGAAAAAUAAUUAUACAAACCUGUAAAAUGAUUAAAAAUAAAACACUAAAUAUAAAUUUGUUUUUAAAACAUAUUUAAAAAUAUUAAAAAUAAGUUAAAAAUAUUUUAAAUUUUCAAACAGACUUUUAUUUUACAAAACAUCAUAGAAUAGUUUUAAAAAACUAUUCUAAAAAAAAUUGUUUCUAGUUUUUAAAAAUAGUUAUCAAACAUGCCCCUAAUUUUCCUUUAAAAAUACUUUUUAGGCUAAAAAUAUUUUUUUUAAAACACUAUCAAAUGCACUUUAAGGAGACUUACAAGGUCUCAUUUUAGUUGAAUUAGUGAAAAGGAACCAAUGUAGUCUCAAUAAAAGCAACAAAUAUUAGAAAAUGGUAUUGAAGCAACCAAUGUAGUAUCAUUUCAAUAAAUAUGAUGUAGAUGGUUGAGGAAAUUAAUUGGGUCCUAAGUAAGGUUAAAAAAUCGAGAUAUACCAUUGAUAUUGGGCUAAAGCCAUUUUUCGACAUCAAAAUGGGAAAACUAAGAGGUAAGGUGCUUGGUCUUUCAGGUUUAAAAUUCAAGGUAUGCACCACGGGGUAGCACAUGCCUUUAGUUAAUAAUUGAACAUAUAAUGGGUUAAUUUUAUUCACCUUUCCUUAGUUUUUAAGUGCGUACCCCCAAGGAUAAAAAUAUCGGUAAUCACAGAUAUAUCGGUACUUCGAUUUUACGGACAUAUCGGAGAUAUAUCGGCGGAUAUUCUGGAAAAAAAUAUCGCUAGACUUAAAAUUAUUAAAAACUCAUGGAAAUGUAAGGAAAAUCUCAUAAUAAUAUAAUUAAAAGUAUAAUGGACAUUUUAAAGUUGUUUUAUUGAAAAAUUUGAUAUAUAUAUAUAUAUAUAUAUAUAUAUGAUAUAAUUUGCGAUAUUAGAUGUAAUUAUAUCAUAUCGAUCUAUAAGAAAUGUUAAUUUUGUAAUUAUUCUCAUUAUAAAGUCACAUAAACUACUUCAUUUAAUUAAAUAUCAAUAAUUUGUACACAUUAAAUUUAUUAAAUAAACAUAUUUCAUAUUCAAAAUAUACUAGUUCAUGUUAAUUAAAUUAAUUAAAUAAUUUAGCAUGUUGAUUAAAUUAAUUAAAUAAUUUAGCUAAGUUAACUAGUUUAAUUUAAUUCUAAAUGUGAAAAUAAAUCACAAAUAAUCAUAUAAAAUAAACAUAUCAAUUUAUAAUUAAAUAAUCAAAUUAACCUAAGUUAAUUCAAUAAAAAUAUAAAAAUUAAUUACAAUUGAAUGUAAAAAUAGCAUUAAAUCAUCCAUAUUGCAAACAUACUAAUUAAUUGAAAAUACAUGAAUUAAUUACAAUUGCAAGCAAAAUUAAUUACAAGUUAAAACAAAUAUACCUUAAAAUGAUUAAAUAAUUGAGCAACCUUAAUAAAAAUUGGAGUAAUGAGAGCAAAUGAAGAAUGAAAGCAAAAAUGUAUGAAAUAUAUGAAAUUUGGGCUAUUAAUAGAAGAAAUUUGGGCCAAAAUAGCCAUUGGAACAUUAAUUUACCGUUGAAAAUCAAUUUUGGUCAUUGGAUAAAAAAUUGAGAGCAAUCUGGCCGUUUGAUCGCCAUUACCAUUGGAAUCACAUCUAGGCCGUCAGAUCAACACGGGCGUGAUUUGGGCCGUCAGAUCACAUUGCAUGAAGGAGGGGAAAUAUCGUCAAAAAAUCAGCGAUAUAUCUCCGAUAUAUCACCGAUAUUUUGUCACUAGAGGCGAUUUUUUCAAAAAAAUCUCCGAUAUAUCUCCCCGAGCCGAUAUAUCACCGAUAUAUCCCAACAUUUUCCUCCUUGCAUACCCCUGAUUUACAUUAGUUUAAAAUUUCAUCAAUAUCCUCUUUAUUUUAAAUGGGAGGGUAGAUAAGUAAAAAUAAUAAAUAAAAAUAAUAGGAAAGGUAUUUGAUGAUAUUUCAAACCAAUGGUACCUAAGUGUAUUUAGUCAAAACCUUACACCUAAUUUUCAUUAGUUUGAAAUUUCACUUAUAUAGCACUAGUGAUAAGGAGAGAAAGUUUCUGAUGCUAUAUAAAUAUGAGCUCCUCUUAACCUUGUACACGCAUUUUAAAGUCGUUAGGGCUCAUUUGGGCCCCAAGUGGACAAUAUCUACAUGUUUGGUGCAGGUCGUUUCAAAUGAUAUCAAAGUCAAUCCUUAACUCCGAUGUGGGGGUUUGUUUUACCCUAUGAGGAUUGUCUGUCUAUUUAGCCCCAUAAUCUUAUGAGAUACGAUGAGAAUGUUGUGUCUGCAUGGGGGGGGGGAAGGGGGGUGUUUGUGAUAUCUCAUAUCGAAUAUGGGGGAAAGUUAUCGAGCCUAUAUGUAUAUAUAUAUAUAUAUGCUCUUCUUAACUUUAGAGAUGCAUUUUAAAGUCAUGAAAGUCAUACAAUAUCUACACAGUUGGGUGCGUGUCAUUACAAAUGGUAUUAAAGCCGAUCCUUGACCCCAAUGUGGGGGUUUGUUUAGUCUUGUGAUGAGUAUUUGUAUGUUUGUUUUGCAAUCCCGUAGGACAUAAUGAAGAUGUUGUGCUUGCAUAGGAGGAUGUUUGUGAUGUUUCACAUUAGAUAGAAGAGAAAGUUUCUAGCGCUAUAUAAGUAUGUACUCCUCUUAACUAUGUAGAUACGUCUUAAAGCCGUGAGGGCCUAAAGGGGCCUAGAGCAGAUAAUAUCAAGACGGUUGGGUGUGGAUAAUUACAAAUGAUAUUAAAGUCGAUCCCCAACCAACUCUAGUGUGGGGGUUUGUUUGCCCCCAUGAGAAGUGCCUGUCUAUUUAGUCCUGUAAUCUUGUGGGACACAACGAAAAUAUUGUGUCUGCAUGAGAGGGUCUUUGUGAUGUCCCACAUUAGAUAGAGGAAAAAGUUCCUGAAGCUAAAUAAGUAUGAGUUUCUCUUAACCUUGUAGAUGCAUUUUAAAACUGUGAGGACCAGUUUGAGCCCAGAGUGGACGAUAUUUACAUGGUUUGGUGCGAGUCAUUACAAAUAGGAAUUUAAAUAGUUUAAUGUUUGUAUACUUGUGGAAAACUUGAUGAAUGCUAGACAUGAUGAGCUCUUAAUACACGAUUUUUUAUUUUUUAUUUCCCUUAUGAGAGUAUACUAACUGGGGAUUAUAAAGCUUCUUGUUGUGAGAUAACAUUUCUUUUGUAGUUAUGGUUGUAGUAGACUUGUACAAUACUAAAGAGUAAAUCUUUUAUAGAGAAUCAGAAAGAGUCUUUGGUUUCUAAAUAUUUCAUCUUUUUGCAGACUCUAGAUUAUACUUAUAGUGGGUGGAACUGUGGAAGAUGAUUGUGUUCAAACUUCUAUAAUGGUUCAUUGUCUGGAUAAUCCAACUGAUAUAGACUGAGUGACUGGCCUUUAGAUGAUAGAGGGAAAAGAGAAGAUUUCCAUCACAUAUCAGCUAAGCGAGAUGAGCUUUUGAUGAUACUAUGCUGCGCAAAUAAUUUGACCUCAGGAUUUAUAUUGUAAUGUAAUGAUGAACCGAUAAUAAUUUACUCAAAAAAACGAAAAGUUAAAAGUUAUUGUGUAUGAUUGGAUACAUUUUUCAUAUUUCAUUUUUUUUUUUAAUAUGAAGUGUAGGUUGAUUGGGAUCUGUUUUUGAAAAAUUGUUUUUGAAAAUUGUUUUACAAUAUUUUGUAAUACAAAAAUUUAUUUGGAAAUCUAAGAUGUUUUGAACCUAUUUUCAUUAUUUAUAAAUAUGUUUUAAAAAUAAUUUUUAUAUACUUUAUUUUGUUUUUAAAAACAAAAAAUAAUUUUCUAGUUAUCAAACAUGCUUUUAUGUUUUUUUUUUUGUUUCAAAUAACAAACCGUUUAAAAAAUAGUUUACAAAUAGUCUAAUAAAGAUUCUCAUACAAAAAGAUGACGGAUACCUUGAAAGCUUUUUUUAAAAUUUGAAAAAGUAGGAUCAUGUUUAGGGUGAUAAUCAAUUCAAAAUCAUUUUUAAGAAUUGUUCCACAAAAUUGUUUUCUAAAAUUGUUUAAAUUUCUUUUUUUUUCGAGAAUUGUUUCCAAAAACAUUUAUAACAUAUAUUAGAAAAAUUCACUUCCAAAUAUUUUAGAUAUUAAAAUUUAUUUUUAAGAUCAUAACGAAAAUAUUUACUUUGUACGUUGAAGUUCUUAUAUUUUAUAUAGAAAUUUUUAUUUUUAAAUGUAAAAAUAGAAAGUAUAUUCAAAUGUAACCUAAGAGCUGGUUUAAUAUUUGAUUUGAAGAAAUCCAACAAACUCACCAUCUUGACGUGGAAAUGAUUAAGAUCAUAUUUAGUUCUUUGAAUAUAGUUUUAUUUGUUGUGAAUAUACUAAGUUAUCUUCUUACUUAUUAUAUCUCAUAUUACUUAUCACAUCUCAUAAUAAUUAUAAAAGUGAUGAGAUAUAUCAUAAAUCCUCUUUUAUAUUAUCUCUGAGAUAUAAUAAUCACAAGUUAGAGAUACAAUAUUUUCAUAUCUAAUAUGUCAUAACUUUUUUCUUCUUUCUUUUUUUAUCGAUUUUGCUCAUUUUUUUUCAAGUUUUUUAAAUUACUUAUUUUACAAAACAUAAUAUUUUGAUUAAAAAAAUAUUAAAUUUAUAGUUAAAAAAAAUUAUAUAUAAAUUUUAUUUAUAUAGUAAAAUAUACUAAUAUAUGUAUUAUUUAAUCUAUAAAAAAACAUUUUUAUAUAUUUAACUACAUAUUAUAAUAUUUUUAUUUAGAAAUUUUAAAUGCUUUAAUCAUGAGUAUCAUUAACAAAGAAAAUGAUUAUUUAUUAAAUUACAAAUUAUAGAAUGAUUUUCAAAUAAUACUAAAUGAAAGAUUUUAUGCUUUUUAAAAGAGAAAAUAUUGAGAUAUAAUAUAAUUUUUAUUUUAAACACAGUUAAAAUAUAAUAUGUUUUCUAUUCCAUUUUUUAUCCUUUUUAGAAACCUAACGAGGGAAUCAUACAUAAAACAUAUUUCAUCGGGUACUGUUACUACAAGAAUGGAGAAUUAGGAGAGGAGUUUUUGCGGCAUAAUGAAUUGAUACUUUAGGGAAGAUAUCCCAAUUCUUUAAUUUUAUCCAGAUUUUAAUAACAUUAAUUAAUCUCAACACUUUUAACAAUGAGUAAAAGAUAACUAACCUCACAUAAGAAGACCAAAUAUAAUAUAGAAAAAUCACCUAAGAGUUUCCCAAAAACUCCAUAAAUCUAAAAAAUAACAGGUUGAACGAUAGUAAAUAAAUUCAUUAAAUUAAAAAGGACUUGUGUGGUGCUUUUACUCCUAGAGUUUUAUAUUGAUCAAAACCCACAUAAUCCCACACAACCUUGGUGCAACACCCUCAUACUCUCUAAUGAAUACUUCAACAUUAUGUUGACGCUAGCCGAUUGAAUAUUCUAUUUUUCACUAAAAGAACUAUGUUGAGAUCACUAUUGAAACAAAUAUUAAGGUUGUGAGGAUGCUUCUGUUUUUGUAUGUACAAUACAAUUCAAUAACAUCACAUAUGUAUACCAAAAAUGUAGGAAAUCUUUUUGGAAAGCAGUCGUAAAUUUAAACUUAAUGUCCUUUAAAAUACAAAGAAUAGAUGAAAGAACUUAAAACAAAGACCAAUGUUUGAAUGUCCAUGGGGGACAAUGGAGCACUUGGGGAAGUGGCAUUUGGAUGCCCUUAGGAUGUUUGAAUGCUGUUUGGGAUAUUUGAAUGUCUCUUUCCAAUUUGAAUAAUAACUUCUCUAUCAUCAUCUACCUAAAAGAUCAACCAAUUCUAAAUCAGUUCAAAUUUGACUGAAAUCAACAAGACAAUGUAAAAAAAAAAAAAAAAAACUCAAUACAUCAAUAAUUAUCAUAUAUCAUAGAAUUUUUUCUAUUGAAUAUAAUAUAAAAAUAUAUGAUUUUGAUAUAUACAUAUUUGAAAUUAAUGAAAUAUUAAUGAAGAAUGAGGUAAUAAUGAAAUAUUUAAAUUAUUCUCAUUAAUGAUUAUAUUAUACUAUUUAAUUUGGAAGGGGAAUUAGCCCAACAGCUGUGCUAAAUACUUUUUGCUCUGAAACUUUUGCAUAUUUCUUUUUCUUUUCCCUAAAAGGACAUUAUAAGCACAAAAAUUGAGUUCUAAAUCUGCAGAAAUGUCAGUGACGUGAACAAAAUUUUUGGAAUGCGAUUAAGUGAGAUUCCAAACGACACCGUUUAGAGGGGGUUUCAUAACUUCCAUUUCAUCAGCAAGGUUCACAUUUCCCACCAUUUCUCCCUUUAAAAGUUUCUAACGUUCCACUCUAUACCUCCCAAGAACGUCCCUUCUCCUGCAAGAAAUUCUCUGAAUUUCCUUUCAUACUGCGAAAGCCUCACAUAAGAUGGAUGCAAGAGAUCAACAAGGAGAAGAUUCAAAAUCCACUGAUCGAGUAAAGAGAAAGAUGGAUGGAGAAGAAGAUUCAAAAACCAGUGAUCGUGGAAAGAGAGAGAUGGAUGGAGAAGACGUGCAGAAAUCUCAAGAGAACCCUUCCCAGCGCCCUUGCCCUUCUACGGUUAUCCUCAAUUCCCUACAUUCUUCAAUUUAAAUGAUUUAUUGACUAGCUUUUAACUUCUUCACUGAAAGGUGUGUUGAUUUGAUGGAGAAUGGAAUCGGGGAAGAAAGAAAUGAGGUGGUGUUGCCGUAUAGAUACGAUCACUCGUGGAGAUAGUUUGGUUCUAGUAAAGUAAAAUGAGACUAGUUUAUGAUAAACGAGAAGCCAUUGUUGAGUUGUGAUGAUUCUUUUGAAGUUGUGUGCAUCAAUUGAUGACAAUUUUAAUUUGAACAAUCUUUUUCUUUCUUUCUUUCCUUUUAAAAUUUCUGAGUAUCCAUUGGCAACCCCACUCCCCAGAUUUCCCAAUUAAGAGAUUACGUGUACCUGCUUGUGGUUUUUGUCUUAACUGAUUUCUUCUUAUAAAACUAUAUUGUUUAUUUAUGUUGGAAAUUAACUUUUGUUAAGCUUUUAAUCUCAUCGUUUUAUUGGGCAGGAGUGAUUUUAGAAUUCUUCUAUGCAGUGUUUCCUUCAUUUUCAUCAGGAUUUAUUUAUUUCUUUUGGUUAUUUCAAGUUUCUGUCAAGUAAUAUCUAUAUUCAAGUCGUCAAAAUUAGUGACAUUUUAGCAAGAAAUAUAUCAGAGAUUUAAUUCCUGAGGAUUCUAAAAUCUGUUGAUAUGACAAAGGCUUAUGCUUUGGAGCGCAAAUGGGUGUUUAAGAUUCUUAUCUUAGCAGGCUACUGCUUAGUUACGUAAUUGUUAAGGCGUAGUGGCUAGCUCUAAGUACAUGUUAAUUUAAUUUAUGUAUUUAUUUUUACUCUCAAGGCUUCAUUUUCUCAAUAGUCUUUGUUGUGCAUCGGUAGAACAGAAUCAACCAAUGGCGAGCCAAUCUCCAAAUAUCGGGUGCAGUCAAUUUUAUUUUCGUAGAAUUGAGAUUCCUGCAGACAAGGUGAAUUAAUUAUUGCACUGCCAAUGCUUCCAGGUUGGUUAUGUUGUUGGAAGGAAUCGUGCAACUAUUGGUAGAAUACAGCAAUCUUCUGGAGCUUAGAUUAGGGUUUGUGAUUUAACCACAAAAGAUUAAAUUGAUAAUUUGCCUAUAGAUUUAUCAUUUCUGCGGCUAGCCAUAUUAUAGAUAAUAAUUCUCUUACUUUUUUCAGAUUGAAUCUGGGGAAUGCACUCCCGGUACGUAUAGAAGAGUGCAUUUAGGCGGAACAAGAGAGCAGAUUCAGUCAGCAGUAAAAGAGAUUUAUGACGUGCUUCGUCAGGUGAGUCAUGUGUGGGUGAAUAAGAGGUGUAUAACAUAAAACAGACACAUUUUUAUGAAGCCUAUAAUUUAUGGGAAGGUUUUUGGCAGGAGGCAGAACUGGUGCUCUUAAUUUAUUGGAAGUUUCUUUCAUUGUCAUUAAACCAUAUAGGCAAUGCCCUUUGUCAUCUGGAAGUUCUCGUUUCUGUUGAAGUGACAUUUUUUUAAUGCUCAUUAUGAUAGUUAUAAGGCCAUAAAAAAUGAUCUUUGGGUGGAUAUAAUAGAGUUAAAAAUUAAAUGUCCGAUAAUGAUUUUAGGGAAUGUUUUUAAUCUUAAAAAAUGUUAUACUUUUUAUAUUAAGUAAGGUAAACUUAAUCCAAGACAAUAAAAAACAAAAUAGUUUGGGAUAAGCUUAGAGGGAUUAUGUCAAAAACAAAUUAAUUACUCAUAAUUAAAUAACUACCCUUUCUGUUGUAAUUCACUUCCAUUAAAGAAAAAAUAGAAAAUUUUAUAUAAAAAAUAAAAAUAAAGAUUUUAUAUCUUUAAAAAAAUUUCAAAUUUUUAAAAUUUUAAGCAAUAAAUUUUUUUUAAUACUUUAAUUGUUUUAAUCAAUAUUAAAAAUGGUUAUAUUUUUAAUAUAAAUUUCUAAAAGCUAUUAUAUUUUAUAUAAAAUUUAUUAUAUUUUUUAAAAUAGGAAAUGAGGCCAAAUGUACACUACAAAGAUAAGAUAAGGUUGUGCUAAUUAAGAAAGCAUAUGACACCACCUAAAAAGGCUAGUCAAGAUUAAUAUGUUGCAGGUCAAGUCACAGCCAUAACAUGAAAUGAUGUGCCAAAAAUAACGGGCUAUGGCAAGUCAAAGCUAUAGACAUAACUUAAAAGACCAAUAAAAGUAGAAAAUAAAUUAGUUAAGGCAACAAGAAAGCUUUAAAAGGUUAAGGAUAUUAAUUUGAGUUAUAAACAAGGUUUAAAAUAUUGGUAAAUAUGGAUAUAUCGGUAUUUGAAUUUUAUGGAUAUAUUAGAAUAUUGGUAAGUAUUUUGUACACAAAUAUUGAUUGAACAUAAAUGAUUCAAAAUUAAUAGAAAUGCUUAGAAAACUUUCAAAAAAUGAUAAAAUAAGAAAUAAUAUAUAUAUAUUAAAUUUAUUUUGUAAGUGUAUUUAAUAGAAGUACUAUUAAAGAUAAUAUUUAUCAAAUUUUUAUAAAAAAAAUAGCUUAAAUUUCUUUAAUAUAUUUUUAUUCAUUUAUUUUAAAAAAUUUUUAAAUGUUUUCAUUAAAAGUGUCCUAAGCACAAGUCUUUUUAGUAAAAAUGUUUUAUUUAAAAGUCUUUAUGAGAAAAUCACCUAUUAAGUCUCUAAUAAAUACUAUAAGUGGUUUUUUAAAUUUUUUAAAGUAUUUAUUAAAUUUUAUCAAAUAUUUGAUUUUUCUUUUUUUCAAAAAUAUUUUUUUUUAUAUUAGAAGUAUUUUAUGAAAAAAACUAUGAAAUCGACUCUUAAAGCAUUGAUAGAGGCUGACUAAAUGAACUUGAAAUCAUAGAGGGAGAAGACCAUAAAUCACAAGGGUCUAUGAUAAUAGUUUAAUGGGUGAAGUCUAUUAGCUAGCUAAAGUAAUUAUGAUUAACCUCAAGGUAAUAAUUUAAUUAGUGUUAUUUAAGUUGUCAGGUAAUGAAUGACUAAUAAUAAUUUACUCAAAAAUGGAAAAAAGUUAUAAUGUUGUUUAAAUACAUCAUUUAUUUUUUAUUUAAAAAAAUAAUAAUAGUAACUUUUAUAUAAAAUGGAGGAACCUUUUUGUAAAAAUAAUAGUGACAAAAAAAAUUAAAUACCACUAAUUUUGAAUUAAAUUUUUUGGAAAGUAAUUACUCUUAUGCUUUAAAAUUAGAAAUAAAAUGAAAAUUAUAUCCAAACAACCCCUAAAAUAGUAAGCUGAACAAAUGUCGGACAAAUUCUAGAAUGUAAUAGAAUAAGAAUCCAAAACGGCACCUCCAUCCAUCUGAGAAAGUCUCUUGAUUUUCUUGGGCUUUUUUCCACAAGAAUUUCUCUAAAUUUCCCUUCAGACUAGGAAAAUGAAUGAAGAAGAUCAAGAAGGAGAUGAAGCUACCAUGGACGUCCAUCAAACCAUUGAUCGUGGCAAGAGAAAGGUAGAGGAAGAAGCUGCACCAAAAUCCAAAGAAUAUGCAUUCUUGCUUUUUUUUUUUCUAUACUUAUUCUCAAUUCUCAACAUAUUCUUUAUUUUAAAUCAUUUCUAUACUUUUCUUCUUCACAUGUGCUUGUUUUGAUGGAAAAUGGGAACGGGCAAAGAAAUGAGUUGGUGAUGCCAAUUGCCCAGGAUCAAGCUCUGUUUUAAUUUCAAAGUAGUUUAGAACUUGAAAAAACAUCCUCGAAAAUGAUAGUUGCCCAGGAUCAAGCUUUGUUUGAACAAUUUUUUCUUUCUCCUUGCUUUAUUUCUUUCUUGAAUUCUUUAAAUUGGACUUGACAGGCCAUGCUGUUGUCUGGUCCGUGUUAUUUAAUUUUUUAUUAUUCUCUCUGUUCUAGAAACUUCAAUAAUUUGUACCACUGUUAUGCCUUUUAGAUUGCUACUUACAAGUUGGGUCAGUUACCUUUUCUACCAUCUCAAAAAUCGUCUUAAUUUUUUCAAAUUGAAUCUAGGCCAUGCUUUGUCGAUCGGUACAAGUAGAAGAGUGGAAUUACGUGGAGCGAAGAAAACAGAUUGAGCAGCUGCUUAGUACCAGGCAAAACCAUCAGGCAGGUAUCCAGCAGUACCAUGGCCAGGAUCUUCUUCAGACUUGGGGAACCAUUCUAUUCAACCAUCUGCUCCAGACCGGGUAAAUCCUUCAGCCAUUUGGCCAGGAUCUGAUCUUCCAUGAAGGCAGUGUUGGUUAACCAUUCUUUUUCCACUUUUUUUUUCCUUUUCUGUAUGGUGCUGCAGUAUACUUAUUAGAAGUAGUAUUUUUAUUUUUUUUUCUGAGGUACCCUUUUUGUUCAUCUCCAUUUUGUAGAAAAGAGAAAUAAUCGUAGCAGUUUUGGGAGAGGAACUGCUACAAAAUGGAGAUGAACAAAAAGGGUGCCUGAGAAAAAAAAAAUUCCUACUUCUAAUUAGUGUAUUGUAGCACCGUGCACAAAAAAAAAUUAAAAAAAAAUGGAAAAAGAAUGGUUAACCAGCACUGCCUUCAUGGAAGAUCAUAUCCUGGCCAAGGUGCCAGAGGCAUGGUUAAUGGGUCUGCCUAGUACUGAGCAACUAGUUGGAUGGAAUGGUUCCCUAGGUUUGAAGGGUGUGUAAAUGAAGAUCCUGGCCAAGGUGAUAGAGGGCAUGGCUGAUGGGUUUGCCUGGUAACAAGCAGUUGGUUGGACGAGAUGGUUCCCCAAGUCUAAAGGGUGUAUAAAAGAAGAUCCAGGCCAGGGUGCUGGAUGCCUGCCUGAUGGGUUCGCCUGACCCCAAAUUGAUGGUUGGGUAGAAUACUUGCCAAAUUCUCAACCAUGAUUUUUACUCAACUAAAGGAUCUAUGUAGUUGGGGCUUCUGAUAGCUACUGCUGUAAAGGUAUGACAUCCACUAAAUUUAAUACUAUAUACCACUUAUAGACAUGACCCUUUGUGAGUGGUGGCUACAGGGAUUCAUAUGGAAGCCACUUUUCCUUGCCUACUGUCAUAUGUUAUUACGUGGACACAACUUAUGCAUGGUCACACCUACUAAAGUCUUGAAUAUUUUUUUCCAAAUAUUUUAAUUAAAAUUCUCAUUUCAAUGUUAAAGAGGUGCAACUUUCUUUUUCAACAUAUAUUUUUUAUUGUAUAUAUAAAACUUUAGUUGAACCUUUUUAAAACUUUUAAUCAAAUUUUCCUUAUCUAUGAUAUUGACAUCAGUUAUUAUCGAUGUUGUAUAAUUGAUUAAAUAAACUUUUGAAAUAUGUUAUUAUGCAAUUAAUAUUAUGCAUGGAUAAAACUUCGAUAUAUAUUAGCAAAUAUGACAUGUACUAUGUUAAAUCAAAUGACAUAAUAUAAGAAAGUAAAUAUCCUCAAUGGUAAUUUGAAAAUAAACAUAGUCAAUUAAUUAGUAAAUUUUUAUCAUUAAGAUUUUCAAAGAAAAUUAUAAUAACAUAGGUUCGAUAUGUCAACCAUCAUCCUUAUCAGUAAGAUUCAUCUCUAUUUGCAAUUUUUUUUUCUUAAAUAACAUUUGGCAAAAGUGAACAAAAUGCUUGAUUAUAGGAUUGGUACUCAUCAUCUAUCAUUGUAUGUCACACCUUUAAUAAUCAAUGUUAUGAUUUCACAUAGGUUUAUAUCCGCAAACAUGAUUUGUUUUUUUCUUUAAUCAUUUUACCAAUUCUGAUGGGAAAGUGUGGUCUUCUUUUUGGGAAAACUAUAAGCACCAUAAAUUUAAGAGUCAUUUUAUACAACAAUUCAUAUCACAUCUUGGCCCAUUGCCAUAUUCUAAAGCGAUUAAAUGCACUUUUGGGAAUAACUCCAAUCCAGUUAGAUAAGACUAAAAAUUUUUCAUGAAAAAAUCAUUAUUCUCGUAUACAUGAUCUAGUUAUAGUGAGCUUUGGAAGGAAUUAUAAUAUUUUGAUGGUUAUAUAUCUCUUUUAUAUUAUUAUAUAGAAUAAAUGGCCUAUUUAAGGCUCUUUACUAGUGUUAUAUUUUUGCAUUUUGUAGAGUGAUUAAUUUUUCUACAACAUGAAAUUGAUAAUACGAAUCUUCUGGGUUUGAUAUGGUCAUUGUACAAGAAAAUAAUAUAUUGAAAAAUAAAAAUCUUUUAGGUGGUUUGAUUUUGUCAUUGUUGGCAUCAAAGUCCAAAAAUUUUAAAAUAACAAAUUUUGCAAUCUUCCAAAUGUCACCUAAUCAUGAGUGUGAAAUCAAUUAUAAAUAUUUUAGUAGGCUUUUAUUUAAACAUUGUAUGUGAAGGCAACACAAUAUAACCUAAUAAAAAAUAAUAAAGACUUAAAUAGUAGUACAAAAAUUAAAAAAAUAUAUAUUAAGUAAUAAUUGUGGGCACCGGAAGCCAAUCAAAUAGCUUCACCUGAAUGAAUCAUACCCGGUCAGAUCUCUUUAAAUAAUGCAAACUUGGACAAUAAGGUUAUAAAUGCGAUCGUUAUGCGUUUUACAUAAAGCAGACAAUCAAUGCUCAACAUAAAUAGCCAACCAUUACCGACAACCAAUGAUUAAAUGUUAGGCAUUAAAUUUAUAGUAAAUGAUAAUCAUAAGAACACAUAUAAUGUUACAAGAUCCCUCGCUAUAAAAGCACAUCAGAUGCCAAAGGAAAAUGUACGCACAUUAAUUCAUACUAAAACUCCACCAAAAAUUCCCCAAAGCUGACUUAGCCUUCGGAAGGGUUUACCCAGGCAAACAUUCGAACACUCCUUUUUUGCAGGUCCGUUUAGCAACUAAGUAGGUGAGGCUACCCAAAGAAAGAUAUUGUUGCUUGUGUACCAACAAUAACAAACCUACCUAACCUACUAGCAAUCCCCUUCCAACAUCUAUGAAGCUUCAACAACUAACUAAGAAGCUUUAGAGUUUGAUUUGCUCAUCAGAUUAGAAAACAAUGUACUAGAAAACAAAAAUAUUGUAGGUGGGUUGAUUCAAUCAUUGUUGGUUUCAUAGUUCAAAAUUUUAAAAAUUGCAAAAUUGAUAAAAGAGAAUUGAUACAAAGUAUUGUGUAUGAAAUUUUAUCAUCAUUGUUUGUUUUAUAAUUAUACAUUUUUUUUCUACAUUCAUUGUGUUUUUCUUGGAUCAAUUUUUCUUAUUUCAACCUAGUCUGGAUGUAAAAAUCCAACCCUUAAUAUUGUUAAUAUGUAGGAAAUUGAGAAAUAAUAGAAAAAAAAAAUUUUAAAACAUAUUUUCUUAGAGAAAAAAAUACAAAAUAUUUGAUGAUAUAAAACUUGAAAUAGCUAGAUUUUAUUUAUUAAUUAAAUGCUAAAGAAACAACAUAUGUGCUGCACUACAUAGUAUGUAAUACUUCAAAUUUUUAUAAUUUAAAAUAUCAGUUUAAUUGUAAAUAUACGUACUAGUAUUCUCAUCUACUAUAUGAUAUAAGUUGGGUUGGGUUUGAAUUGGAUUGAGGCAACCUAUCCAAGUUGUACCCCUACAUAGGUAUCAAACCAAUAGUUCUAUCCUUUUUGGUUUUAAUUAUAAUUAUAUUUUUCAAAAAUUUGAGUUUGGGUUGGGGCAUAAGGUUAGAAUUAAAUUCCUAAUCUAGCUUCCAAAAGGAUCCAGGCCUGGCCCAUUUAGAUGGUUGUGUGUGUGUGUGUAAAGUAGGAAAGAGCCAUUCACAUGGUGUGGCUCCCAAUGAAUUUUCAAUAUCAUAUAAAAUGUGGUAAUUAUUUCUCAAAUUGAUUAAAUAAUUAUGCAUUUGGAUACACUUUUUGAUUUUUGUUUCGAAUAUAUAUAUAUAUAUACAAAAACUCUUAGGCUAUGUUUGGUCCCUGGAAAAUGUGAGAGAAAGAAAAUUGGGAGGAAAAAUGGAAGAAAAGAAAAAGCUAAGGAAAUGAAUAUAAUUUUUUUCACUUGUUUGGUUAUCCAUAAAAAUUCAAGGGAAAAAAAAAUUAUUUUCUUUUGUUUGGUUGACCACAAAAAAAAAAAAAAAAAAAAAAAAGUAAGGAAAAAUAGAAGGAAAAUAAAAUCAACAAUUUGUCUUAAAUGGUUAUUAAUUUGUUGAAUAAUAAAAUAAAUUAAUCCAAUAAAAAACCUGUUGAAAAGCGUGAAUUUUUCAACAUAAAACAUUGCUCAUAAAAAGUCCAUGCUAUUAUUUUUUUAUUAAUAAUUAUAAGAUUUAUGUAUAAAAUUUUCCUCAUGCAAUACAAAUAAAAUAUAUGAGUAAUAACUAUUUUUUAUUUUCAAGGGAACAUUUAUAGCUAAUAAAAAAACUCUUAAAAAAAUUCAGAAGGAUUUUCGAAAUCAAAAUUUAGAAAUAAAAUAUGUUCAUAUAAUGUAAAAAUAAAAAACUACUAUAUAAAAUAUAAAAUUCAAAAUUAAAAAGGAUUUUCUAAAUCUAAAUUUAAAAAAUAAAUUUGUAAAAAUAAAAAGAUACAAUAUAAAAUAUUUUUUAUUUGUAAAAAUAAAAAAUUGUAACUUUUCAUUUUUACAUAUUUCGAUCUUACAUUCGGCCAAAACUCACUAAGAAGGUCCUUCAAAAUCUCCAAAUUUCCCCCUCUGGUAGUAACAUGAACAACUCUAUUUAUCAUCUCCCACUUAAAAACAGAAGAGAUCUCCCCAAUUUGCUCCUCCAUCUCUCCAUCUUUGCCGGUGGAGAACCUUGGGGGGACUACAAAAUCAAAAACAAGCCUAAAAACCUCACAAUUCUUUCUCCUAGCAACGGCAUAAAGUAUAUCAGUGACACCAUAUUCUCCUUCUCCAAAAACAAGAAGAGGGUCUCUUUCAAGCAAUUCCUAAACAAAACCCAAGUCUCUAGUCGAGACAGUAGUAUAUAGAAACCAUCCACCAUAGCCAGACUUAAAACACAAGCUUGUGCUUGAUUUGCAGUCUAGAACAUGCAACCUUAGGGAAACUGUCAUCAUUGGAAGCAUUAUUGAAAAGGUCUCCAUUCCUGCUCUACAUUCAAGGUAUGCGCUUGUGUGUAUAUAUUUGAUUGGUUUGUUCUUCUGAUGAUGGGUGUAAACUAUAGUUUGUUAGUUGAAGUAGUUUGGUAUAUGGGUGACAGAGGUAGUAUCCUCAAAAAAGAAGGAUAGAUUCAAGCUCUCCUGAAUGAAAUUGGAGUCUGUUGUGCACAAAAUUCGCCUUAGCCCAUUUAAUAGCAUUGAGCAACGACAAGUAGCUUUUGAGCCACCUGAGAACGACACCUAGCAACAUCAUGGAACUGUUCUUCAUCAUCCCACAUAGUUUCAAGGAGACGAACUCUGGGGAGUGAGGUGAGCUUGAUAAGGUGAUUGUUGUCAAUGCGAAGGAGCUCCCUGACCAAGUCAUAGUGGCCAUUUACAGCAGCCCAAUCAAUGGGGGAAGCAAACCACCAUUGAUCACCAGUGCUCUCCCACCAAAAAGGAAAGUAUGAAGGAGGCAUUAUGAGCACAAAACUCAAAAGCAGAGGAAGAUAAUAACAAAGAAGACCAAUUUUUAGGGAAAGAAAACUAGCAACCCUUUUGGGAUCCAAUUAAAUCCAACUGAACAAAGCUAUAACCCAACUGCUUGGUAUCAGCUAUGCCAAUUCUAGUCAUUUUUUUUUUUUUUGAGAUAAAUAUCUAGAAAAAUGAAAACCUAAUCAAUAAUGCAAUCGAGAAAAUUGCAACAACUAUGUAAUCACCUAGAAUUCACCAUACAUUGUAAAACUAAAGAAGUCUUACAUAACAAACAAAUAAAAAGAAGCCUUUAUAGCAAAUGAAUAAAAGAAGUCUUCAUAAGUCUAAAAAUAUAAUAGAUCAAUUUCUAAUAGUCAACUAUCAUCCAUGAGUUUUGAUAUCAAAACUUCACAUAUAGCCCCAAAACAAAAGUAAAACUAAAAAUAAAAAUAAUCUUCAUCUUAAAUUAGGCAUAAAAAAAAGUAGGUCCAAAUUUAACUGACAACCAAAGCUUACGCCUAUCAAUUGGACAAGCAAGAAAGGCUCAAGCUGUACUCACAUCACCGGUAAGAGCUUGAUAUGCUUUCAUAUGAGAUACAUCACUCAUGCCUCCAAUCUUAGCAAUCUCUUCAAACAAUUGUUUUUCUGUAUAAUUUUGAAGGUUGCUUCUAUCAAGAGCCACAACAACUGCAUCCAUUCCAACUCUAAUUGACCUUAAUUCUUCACUUACAAUGUCAGCAUAUUUUGCUUUUCGCUUUUUUGUUUCUUUGUUUGACUUUGGUGCAGAAACAGAUGCAUCUACAGAUGAGAAAGAUGUCUCAAUUGUUGCUUCAUUUUCAACAUAAGCAAAUGUUUCAUCUCUGAUCCCAUGUUGUGAUGAUUCUAAUAGAAUUGUGUCAUCCAAAUUUUGUUCCUAGGCCCAACGAAGUUGUCUUUCUUUUGCACCUGCAGCAAGACUUCCUGUUGCUCGAUCUUUUCCAAGAAGAAUGAACAACUUAUCAUAAUUUCUAAUAGGUUUGUAUCUGAGCUGAGAUGCUCCUGGGUGUGCCUUUUAACAUCAUAAAAAACAAAUAUUAACAAAACUCAAGUUCAAUUGUGAUAAUGUCUAUUAGAAAUUUAUAGCUCUACAUUACAUGCAAAAUUUUUAUUUCUAAUAACUUAAAAAUAAUAAUUAACUCACCUUAGUGUAAGUAGUCCAUACUUCCGUGGUAGCUUCGAUCAUUUGAGUUGAUUCAUUGAAACCAAAUCCACUACCACUUUGUAAAACUUCUUGAACAGCAUAAAAGUUUUUUUUUUAAGUUUUCAUUCUAUUUUUUAUGUGCUUAGAGUUACAACUCAAUUCAAAAUUUUCCCCAAUUUCUCGAGCAACUAUUGCAUAAGUUGUCUUGGUGAAGACUCCUCCUAUCUUUUGCCCUUUAUGCAUUUGCUCCAUUAAUCGAUCAACCAAAAAGUUGUCCAUUUCAUCAAUCCAAGUCAAGUUUCUUUUUUCACUUACACUUUUGUGUACUUCAAAGCCUUCACUAUGUUCCAUCUGAAAUAAGAAUACAUAUAUGUAUGUUUAAAAUGAAAAGUCAAGAGGAGGAGAUAUAAUAAUAAUUUCAUUGUAACUCAUUCAAAAUGUGAUUUUAACUAGAGGAUUUAUAGUUCUAAAUUCAAUCAUUGUACUUAAUAUGAAACACAAAAAACUAUACAAGAAAAGAAUCAUAAAAUAAAAGGACUCAUCAACGGUUUCUAUUGUAAUCUUUCCACAUGUCCAUGGCUAUUUUCUUCCUUAAGAUUUCUCCUUCCUUGCAUUUUUCAGCUAAACUCAAAACCAUUGAUUCAAACUCCGUCUCUUCGCUAAAAAACUCUCUAUCGACCUCUACUAUUAAUCUUUCAUCUGGAUCAACACCCAUGAGAUAGUUAUAGAGGAUACAACAUGCUAGUAUAAUAUCAGAUUGUGUGUCAACAGGGUAAUGUGGCUCUGUCCCACUAGCUAUUAUUGGAAACCUUUUCUUCAAAACACCAAAUGCUCUUUCAAUUGCAUUUCUCAAGGACGAGUGUCGAAGGUUGAAAACCUCUCAAGCAUUUUCUGGUUGAUGAACACUAUACUCUUUUAAAUGGUAACGAGUGCUUCUAUAUGGGGUAAGAAAUCCAAUUUUUAGCUGAAAACCCGCAUCAACCAAAUAAUAUUUACCUAAGAAGCAUAGACAAAGGAUCUUUGUUAUUACUAAUAGUCACUUGAGCUAAUAAAUUAUGUUAUUAUCUAAUCACCAAUAAUUACCUUGUGGAACAAUCAAUUUAUCAAAAUCUCUCACUAAUGCAUUAUCUAGGAUUCUCGAGUCUGACACAGAUCCUUCCUAACCAGGUAAAACAUAUGUGAACUUCAAGUCAAAGGAACAUACUGUUAAAACAUUUUGUGUUGGAUAGUACUUUUGCCCUCGAUACCUUUGUACAACAUCAUUUGACACUUUUACACGAAAAUGUGACCCAUCAAUUGCUCCCAUGCAAUCCUAUAAAAAAACAAAAGUAUUAGUUUAUUUUGAAAUAUAAAUAAUAUUCUAAUGAUGUUUGUUAGAUAAGUAAGUUUACCUUAAAGUAGGGCCAAAAUUUGGUAUUGUCCUUGAUUUCUUGAGGGCACUUUAAUCCAUCAGGUUGUUUUAAGAAGACAUCAUCUAAAGAUAUUAUAGCUCUAAGAACUUGAUGAAAGUGAUGACUAACAGUUUCACUAGAACGCUUGAAAUAAAAUUUCAUAGUUCUAUUCCUUAAAUUAUGACCAACAAUGUGAAGGAAUUUGGCAACUUGUUCUUCUACAUUACUAUGUGCAUUAUUUCUAAGACGACCUGUUCCCCGAAGAAUGUUUACUAGUCUUGCGAAUGCAUCUUUUCCCAUACGUAGUUGAUUAUAACAAUCUUCAUUAUCCAUUAGUGUAAGUCUUUCCAUCAAAGCAUGUUGUUCAUAAUCUCCUUCAUUAGAGAUUGAUCUCUCCAAAUAAUUUGAGCGAUGAUAAAUUGAAACAAGAAUUGCCGCAUAUGCAGCAUACAUAGCUACACAAGUUGCAGCCCAUCUUCUAAGUCUUUGCCACUCUUCAUUAUAAGUCUACAUGAUAGCAAAGUAAGAGGAAUGAUUUAGUAAAGUCAUUAGGAAAAAGUAAGAGGAACUAAGGUAUUAUGAUUUCUAGCUAUGAAAAUUUCGAGGAAAAUAUUGCAUGAAAAUUAAGGAUAAGGAAAAUAUUGCAAGUCAUGGAGGGUUUUGUAGUUACUGGGUGUUCCUGCCUGGCUUUCCUGGCCUAGCAGGUGAGAUACCAGUACCAUAUGCUUUUGCUCAGCUAUCUGGAGACAUUUUGCACACAGCGGGUCAGCUCUAGGUAUCGCCUAGGUAAAGGGUCGCUUCUGCCCACUAGUUCUUUUCUUGAUGUUAAUUGCAACAUGGCUUUGCUAUAUAAUGUUCGAACAAGGAGACAAAACUACCUAGUUCUAUCAAUCAAGACACUGAAUUAAUUGGACCUCUAUGCUUGAUGUUGAAUAGUUUUUAAAAAUUGUACUUAAUGGGCUGGGCUUAGAGUGAAUACGUGUGAGUUAGUGUGUAGCUUUGUGAGCUACAUUUAAUCCAUCAAGAAUAUGGACCCUAUGUUGUAUCACAAACAAACAAAAUUGAAAUAAAUGCUUGGAGAAAAUGCAUGAAAGAAAAAUAACUCAGAGUUAAAACUAAUUAUUCUUCAGUAAAGGAUUGAGUAAAAGACUUCAGAUUAAUCCAGCAAUUACAAUGGGGAAAAAGAUAGUUUGGGGCGUGGGCCUCAUCGGAAGUUCUUUGCAUAAGAUAAAAAAAAAGGAGAGGGCAGACAUGCUAUAUAUUAAUUGGCAUUAAACCCUAGCUACUAACAUAAAGUAUGAGCCACGACCUAUGAAGAUAAGCAGGAGUAAAUGACACUAAAGAUGACAAGCUUGGAAUUUUAAAUAAUUUAGACAAACAUGAAUUCAGUAGGAAUCCAGAUCUCUCCUAGCAUACUGCCAAAUCUGGGACUGGAGAGUCCAUGAGGAUUCCGGACUUGGUUAUUUAAGAUUGAUUUCAUAGGAUGCAAACAAACACUAAUAUAGUUUUCGGGUUAUUUGCAUUAUUAGUAAAGCAUGCUAAAUGCUUCAUAGUUUAUGCUUUUUGCGGUUUUUAAGGAAGCCUGCAUCAUUGUAUAUAACAAGAUCACCUAAACCAGUGGCCAACCAAAAGAACAAAACUGGCCACAGUAUUUAAAAUCAUGUCUCAACCAUGUCUCAUUAGGAGUUAACAUGGAGGACAAACCAGGUUUAAAAUCUUGCACUAGAAAAAAACUUGGGUGCAAUUAAAGAAAUUCUAGAAUCACCCUAGAAUGAAAUGGGCAGAGCAGAGCAGGUUUCCCAGUUUCAUAUGUUCUAUUGUCACCUCUAUUUUAGACAAAGUCCCCAUAUCAAAGGACAAAGAAUCCAAAACCCUUAAAUUGUUAGCCUAUUGUUGCCAGUCUAUUUUCUCACUUCUCAAAGCCAAGAAAGAUACACAAUCAUCAAAUAUCUAAAAAAAAUUAUCCAUCACCAUAAAGUGGGCGGCAUUAAACCAAACUUAUCCAACUAAAAAAGACAAUUAAACUUCUCUUAUAAUAGAACUGAAAGACUCUUGCAACUCUGUGCCCAAUACUCCCUCAGAAGCUAUAUAAUAUUGCUGAAAAUUUUCCAUAGUGCUAAUAUAUAUAAUACACGCACUCCUCCACAACCCAUAGAAAAACUAAGAGCGCAUUUGAGCCUGAAUCAAUAAUAAGAAUCCAUGAAACUAUCUCCCUAGCACCCAUGAACUUCUUCAAUUCAAUAUAUAGCCAUCACUAUUACAAUCCAAAUCUGUCCUUAUUUUCUUUCUGGUUUCUUUUUAGUUGUCAACUUGUCAUGCCCCAAGCAGAACACUUCCCUGAGCUCUAGUAAAUUUUCCCAUCACCAGCAGUAUCAAUGAGCUUAAACUCUUGCUUGAUCAGCCAGUUAGACUUCCAUGGCAGCAAACGAUGAGCAAUUACAACUCCAAAUUAAACUAGUAAGUAUUAUCCUGGGCUCUCUUCUCUUUUCCAUCCUUUUAACAUCUCUAGAGGCUUUGAAAGAUGAAGACAGUUUCCACCCACUUGUCUGAACAGGCUUAGGUGAAGAAACACUAGGAGAGUUGGGAUGGCAGAGUGAAUAAAAAAGGAAACAUAACCCAAGAUGAUUAGGAGCUUCCAAUAAGAAUAGUGUAUGUGGAGUUGCCGUUGCUGCUGAUUCCCAAUUAACAUUCAAAGUUGCAAUUAACAAUAAAGAGAAUCAAAACCCUAAUAACAUUCAAAAUCCCCAUUCUGAAACCUGAAAUCAUUGGUCCAUAAAGCCCUAAGAAAUAACUCAAAUCGAAUUCAAACCCUCAUUUGAAGGGGGAAAAAAAUUAAGAAGCAAAUAUCAAUCCAAACAAACUCAAAAUUCCAAUUGGAAACCUUAAACCCUAAUUUCUAGUCAGUUGUAUGGAAAAGGCUGAAUGAGUGAAAGAGAUCAUAAAAUUAAACCAACAUCAAACAUAGAGAAACUCGCAAGGAAUGGAGCGAUCAGAGAGACAAAAGAGUUUGGAGACUGAGAUUAAGCAGAAUGCGAUUUGAUUCUUAAUCCAGUUAAUUGACGUUGGGAGGUAGUUUGACUAAUAAUGGGAUUCAAUUCAUAAGGUGUAAAGUUAAGAGAAAAGAGUGCAACUCAUACCUAACUUGAAGACAUGGAUCCGAAUACAUUCAUUGGAUUUGAAGAAUUUAUUUCAUCCAUGGAAACUUGAUUUGAAGAACACACUUCAUCCAUGGGAACUCGAGUGCCUGAAAAUAGUAGGUUUUCAGAGGCACUAGAAAGAUGGUCGGAGUGAUAGUGGUGGCCGUUGAAAGGGUCGAUGACGGUGAGAAGUCAUAGCCACCAAUGAAGAGGAAGUUAGAGAUGAAGCAUCGGUGAACAAGAGCCCGACUAAAUUUUCCUCCCCUUUUCCCUGCUUUUUUUCUUUUAUAUUUUCCUCAUUAUUUUUUAAAGAAAAUAGUAAGGAAAAUAUUACAAUAUUUUUUUUAAUAUUUUCCUUCAUAUUUUUUAUCCAUCAUAUUUUCCAUGUCAUCCAAACUAAAGAAAAUCAUUUUCCUUUGCAUUUUUUUUCCUUUCCUUAGCAUUUUCCGAGAACCAAACAUAAUCUUAGAAACAUAUAUUAAAAAAAAAAUUAUUGUUUUAAAAGUUGUUUAAAAAUUUUUUACUACAUCAUAUUUUAAAAUUUAUAAAAGUGAUUUUCAAAGAUAUAAUGUAUAUAUAUAUAUAUAUAUGUGUGUGUGUUUUGUAUAAAAUAUUCUACUUUUUAUAAAAAUAAAAUAAAAUAAAUUAUUUUAAAAUAAAAAACAGAAAGUAUAUCUAAAUUGACAUUAAAUUAUAAAUUUUUAUAACAAAUAAUUAUGCGUAAUGUGAACAAAUUGGUUCGUUUUCUUCUUUGUUUUCAUCUCCCUAUGCACCAAAUUUAGUUGAUUGACCAUUUAAUCUUGAAACUUUGUGAUUAAAAUAUAAAAAUAAAUUAAGAAAGAAGAAAAAAAAAUACAGAACCCUAUGUUUUCUCAACAAGUGUAAAGCAUUUAAAUAUUUGAAAACUGCAAUUUUAUCAUCACUCUCAACUCUCUUCUUCUAUUCAAUAGUUUACAAAAAUAUGCACCUAUAAUAUUUCACCAAAAAAAGAAAAAAAAAAAAAAAAAACCUCUCUAAUAUUCCACAUCCUCUAUAGAAAGUUUGGUGUCCUCUGCAAUAAUCUUCUGAAGGACGACUGCAAGAUACAAUAUCUCAGUUGAAUUCAGCAGUAACUUUCUGAAUCUUGCCCAGCAAAUCACAAGUGAAAUGAUAUUGUUAACAUACCUGAAGAUGAUUUCCAUCAACCUUUGUCCCCAGCCCCAGGAGACUUUUUGUCCGUAGGAGUUGGUAAAACAUGUUAUUGCUCCAAUGUAGUGCACUCUUUGUGUUGAAUAUAAUGUAUGUAUAGUAUACUAUCUUUCCUUGUUAAUAUAGGUCACAUGUAUGGUAGUUAGGACUCCUAGCCUUGUAUAUAUAUAUCUCUCAAUUGUAAGUAGACAUUACAUGAAUGUGAAUAAGGUUUUUCUCCUCUCUCUCUCUCUCUCUCUCAACAUGGUAUCAGAGCCAAAGGAGAAAACCUAAUUUUUUUUCGGUUUAGCCGUGUACUCAAUUCCGGCGAACCGUCCAGUGACCGUGUUUCACUCCGGUCCCCUCAUUCUCUUCCCGAACCACCCCGGACAACCUCAUCGCCGUCGGAUCUCCACCACGCCGGCAACCUUUUCCGGCGACCUCUUUUCCGGGCAACGACCACAUAUUCCGAAACGCCGGAGGCUGAUCUACACUCCAGUGGAAACCCCACCGGCAACCGGAAUCUCACGCGCCCCCACGCGCCGCUCUUCUCCUCUGGACUGUCACCCACGUGCCUGCGCGUGACGGCGCGUGGCUCACUUUCCGGCCACUUCCGACACCUCUCCAGGCUCGUCCGGCGCCGUCUUGGCCUUCUAGCCCUCCGGCAGUCCUCCCCGAGCCCUGCAUCUCCAUUUUUUCCCUGUUUUUGGCUUUCUUGCCAUUCCGGCCACCUCCGACAGGGCUCCCCCUCCAUCUCCGAGGCUUGGGUGCUGCUUCUCUUCCUCUCCAGGCACGACACGACCUUUUUUCUCCAUUGAUUGCACCUCUCACAGCCGUGGUUUCACUGUUUUUCUCUCUCCGCCGAAAUCUGAACCCAUUUUAAGGCUCUCUUCGAUCCAAAUACGUGAAUAUGACCACCAAAAAUCAGAUCUUUACCUCUAUUCUCUCUGGAUCUCCUCUUAUUACCUCAGAGAAAUUGGUUGGCAGUGAGAAUUAUCUCUCCUGGUCUGCCUCUGUUGAACUUUGGUUUAUGGGUCAAGGAUAUGAGGAUCACUUGGUUACCCAGGAGGCAGAUAUCCCUGAGGUUGACCGCGUACAGUGGAGGAAGAUAAAUGCACAGUUAUGUAGUGUAUUAUGGCAAUCGGUUGAUCCCCGGAUUCUUCUUCAUCUUCAGUCCUAUAAAACUUGUUUUAAAUUUUGGACUCAGGCCAAAGGAUUAUACACGAAUGAUAUCCAGCGUCUUUAUAAGGUGGCUUCUGCUAUUGUCCAUCUCAGCCAACAGGACUUGGAUCUAUCUACUUAUAUUGGUCAGAUUGCCUCUCUUAAGGAGCAGUUCUUGACUGUGAUGCCUCUUACUCCUGAUGUUGGGGCUCAACAAACACAGCUUGACAAGUUCUUCAUGGUCCUUACUCUUAUUGGCCUCCGUCCGGAUCUUGAGCCUAUUCGUGAUCAGAUUCUUGGUAGUUCAUCAGUUCCGUCCUUGGAUGAUGUGUUUGCUCGCCUCCUCCGUAUCUCGUCCACUCAGACUGUGCCAUCUGAUAGCGCUUCAGAUUCUUCUGUGUUAGUUUCUCAAACUACCUCUCGAGGAGGACGCAGUGGUACCCAAGGUAGAGGCCAACGUCCUCAUUGCACCUAUUGCAAUAAACUUGGCCACACUCGCGAUCGUUGCUAUCAGUUACAUGGAAGACCUCCUCGCACUGCCCAUAUGGCCCAGUCCUCUGAUUCUCCGCUGCCUCAGCCUCCGAGCUCCUCCGCAUCUCAGACAUCUCAGGCUUCUAUUGCCUCUGUUGCCCAGCCUGGUAAUGCCUCUGCCUGCCUUACCCACACAUCUUCUCUUGGACCCUGGAUUCUAGAUUCUGGAGCAUCUGAUCACCUAUCUGGUAAUAAGGAUCUUUUCUCCUCUAUUACUACUACCUCUGAUUUACCUACUGUUACCUUAGCCAAUGGUUCUCAAACUGUGGCUAAAGGUAUUGGUUUGGCCCUUCCUCUGCCUUCUCUACCUCUCACUUCUGUCCUUUAUACUCCUAAAUGUCCUUUUAAUCUUAUUUCUAUCAGCAAAAUCACUCGUACUCUUAAUUGCUCUAUUACCUUUUCUGAUAAAUUUGUGACCUUGCAGGACCGGAGUACGGGGAAGACGAUUGGCAUAGGACGUGAGUCUCAAGGCCUCUAUCACCUCACCUCAGAUUCAUCUCCUGCAGUUUGCAUUUCCACUGAUGCUCCUCUCUUCAUUCACAAUCGUCUGGGCCACCCUAGUCUCUCCAAGUUCUAGAAGAUGGUUCCUCGUUUUUCCACUUUGUCGUCGCUUCCGUGUGAGUCAUGUCAGCUUGGGAAACAUACUCGUGUCUCGUUCCCAAAGCGUUUGAAUAAUCGGGCAAAGUCUCCUUUUGAGCUUGUCCACAUUGAUGUUUGGGGUCCUUGUCGGACUGCGUCUACUUUAGGAUUUCAAUAUUUUGUCACUUUCAUUGAUGACUAUUCUCGAUGUACUUGGUUAUUUUUAAUGAAAAAUCGAGCUGAGUUAUUCUCUAUUUUCCAGAAAUUUUAUACUGAAAUCCAAACCCAGUUCAAUAUUUCUAUUCGUGUGUUACGCAGUGACAAUGCCAGGGAAUAUUUUUCAGCCCAAUUUACUUCGUUUAUGUCUCAUCAUGGGAUUCUUCAUCAGUCUUCUUGUGCUCAUACUCCUCAACAAAAUGGGGUAGCUGAACGCAAGAAUCGACAUCUUGUUGAGACAGCUCGUACUCUCCUCCUCCAUAGUCACGUUCCUUUUCGCUUUUGGGGGGACGCUGUUCUUACCGCUUGUUAUUUGAUUAAUCGUAUGCCCUCCUCUGUCUUACACAAUCAGAUUCCUCACUCCCUUCUUUUCCCUGACCAACCACUUUAUUUCCUUCCUCCUCGUGUCUUUGGUUGUACUUGCUUUGUUCAUAUUCUCACUCCUGGACAGGACAAGCUUUCCGCCAAAGCCAUGAAGUGCCUCUUCUUGGGAUAUUCUAGACUUCAGAAGGGUUAUCGUUGUUAUUCCCUUGAGACUCAUCGGUACUUUAUCUCCGCUGAUGUCACCUUCUUUGAGGACUCACCAUUCUUUUCCACCACUUCUGAGUCUCUUCCUGUUUCUGAAGUCUUGCUCAUUCCCAUUGUCUCCCCACCUGAUGCUAUACCCCCUCGACCACUUCAGGUUUAUCAUCGUCGCCCUCGUGUCGUUGCUCCUCUCCCUUUUCCUGAGGCGCCUGCUGACUCACUUCCUAUCCCUUCGGCUUCACCUGCCCCGACUCUGCCUUCUCCUAAUGACUUACCCAUUGCUAUUCGGAAAGGUACUCGCUCUACUCGUAAUCCUCAUCCUAUUUACAAUUUUUUGAGUUAUCAUCGAUUAUCUUCACCCUAUUCUGCUUUUGUUUCUGCUAUAUCCUCUGUUUCUCUUCCAAAGAGCACCCAUAAAGCUCUUUCCCAUCCAGGCUGGCGACAGGCAAUGGUAGAUGAAAUGGUUGCUCUGCACUCUAAUGGCACUUGGGAUCUUGUUGUUUUACCCUCUGGUAAAUCUACAGUUGGUUGUCGUUGGGUCUAUGCAGUUAAGGUUGGUCCUGAUGGUCAAGUUGAUCGCCUUAAGGCCCGCUUAGUUGCUAAAGGCUAUACUCAAGUUUAUGGUUCUAAUUAUGGUGACACAUUCUCCCCUGUUGCCAAGAUUGCUUCUGUCCGCUUGCUUCUCUCCAUGGCUGCUAUGUGUUCUUGGCCUCUUUAUCAGUUGGAUAUUAAAAAUGUCUUCCUUCAUGGUGAUCUUGCCGAGGAAGUUUAUAUGGAGCAACCUCCUGGUUUUGUUGCUCAGGGGGAGUCUGGUUUAGUGUGCAGGUUACGCCGUUCUCUAUAUGGCUUGAAACAAUCUCCUCGAGCAUGGUUUAGCCGUUUUAGUUCUGUUGUUCAAGAGUUUGGCAUGCUUCGCAGUACAGCAGACCAUUUAGUUUUUUAUCAUCAUAACUCCUUGGGGCAGUGUAUUUAUCUGGUUGUUUAUGUGGACGACAUCGUCAUUACAGGCAGUGAUCAGGAUGGUAUUCAGAAACUAAAGCAACAUCUUUUUACCCACUUUCAGACCAAAGACUUGGGGAAACUCAAGUAUUUCUUAGGAAUUGAGAUAGCUCAAUCCAGUUCUGGUGUGGUCCUUUCCCAAAGGAGGUAUGCUUUAGACAUCCUGGAAGAAACCGGUAUGUUAGACUGUAAACCGGUAGACACACCUAUGGAUCCGAAUGUCAAACUUGUACCAGGAUAGGGGGAGCCUUUAGGAGACCCCGGGAGAUAUCGACGGCUCGUAGGUAAAUUGAACUAUCUCACCAUUACUCGUCUAGACAUUUCUUUUCCUGUGAGUGUUGUCAGUCAAUUCCUACAGUCACCAUGUGAUAGCCAUUGGGAUGCCGUAAUCCGUAUUCUUCGAUAUAUCAAAAGUACACCAGGCCAAGGUGUAUUGUACGAGAACAGAGGUCAUACUCAAGUUGUUGGUUACACAGAUGCAGAUUGGGUUGGCUCACCCACAGAUAGACGUUCCACUUCAGGGUACUGUGUUUUUAUUGGAGGUAAUCUAAUAUCUUGGAAGAGUAAGAAACAAGAUGUAGUGGCCAGAUCUAGCACUGAAGCCGAGUAUCGAGCUAUGGCCUUGGCAACAUGUGAACUCAUAUGGUUGAGACAUCUUCUUCAGGAGUUGAGAUUUGGAAAGGAUGAACAGAUGAAACUCAUCUGUGAUAACCAGGCCGCAUUACAUAUUGCAUCCAAUCCAGUCUUUCAUGAAAGGACCAAGCAUAUUGAAGUUGACUGUCAUUUCAUUAGAGAGAAGAUCGCAUCAGGAUGUAUUGCUACAAGUUUUGUCAAUUCAAAUGAUCAACUAGCAGACAUCUUCACUAAAUCUCUCAGAGGUCCUAGGAUUAAAUAUAUUUGUAACAAGCUUGGUGCAUAUGACGUAUAUGCUCCAGCUUGAGGGGGAGUGUUGAAUAUAAUGUAUGUAUAGUAUACUAUCUUUCCUUGUUAAUAUAGGUCACAUGUAUGGUAGUUAGGACUCCUAGCCUUGUAUAUAUAUAUCUCUAAAUUGUAAGUAGACAUUACAUGAAUGUGAAUAAGGUUUUUCUCCUCUCUCUCUCUCUCUCUCUCAACACUUUGUUACCCGUAAAGCUUUUUAAUGAGGACAUUGUGCAGUUCUCUUUUGUAAAGUUUGCCUAUAAAUAAGUCAAUGAAAGAAAGAGAGCUAUCAGAAAUUGUGGAAACACCUUCAUAAUGGAAGAACAAUGACAGAAUAAGCAGCAAGGCAUUUCAAAAAUUCCCAUGCUGAAAUUUGAGACAACAAGAAUUGAAAAACAAAUGCCAUUAUAUAGCAGAAAAGACAUUCUUCAGAAAGUUAAAAGAUUACUAGAUGAUGAGAUUUUUUCAACAUCUGCCACAGGCCCAACUCCCUGGAAACAUUGAAACGAGCAAUUGGACCAACUGAAAUUUAUCAAAUAUAAAAUAUUAACCACAUCUCUAAAUCUCUAAUGGAAACAGAAAACCUGAAACUAAAGGUAUAAUGCUAAGGCAAGUUGCUCCAGCCAAUACCGCACUUGACAGUCUAGCAAACACAAAAUUCCGUAGCUCCUAGUCAGCAGCAAUUCUAUUCACUGGUCUGCCAAAAGUAGCUCAAGAUUUCGAACUUCUUUCAGAUGAUGGUGCCUUGUCAGGCUCUAAACCAUCCUAAUUGACAACAAUAAAGAACAGAAACUAAAAAAAUGAGUGAUCUAAUUAUUUGCACCGGAAUUCAAGUAUAUACUCAUUGUGGGUUAUACUGAGAUCCAAAUAUUAUAUAAUUCUAACUUCUCAUCAGGGAGAACCUCAACCACUUCAUGAAAGUUUCAAGAAAGUGACAAUCAAAACAUUCGGUAUAUGGUUUAUGAUACCACCAAAAACAAGCACCCCCAAAACGUGUGCCCCAAAACAGGUACCUGCAUAAAGUCCACCUCAUGCGAUGUGUACGACAAAGUCUAACCUUCGUUCAAAAGAUAUCACCAACCUUUGACCUUAUCCCGAAAAAGGCUGCAGCUCCAUGUGAAAACUACGUCAUCAACUGAAAUCUUUAUGCAUACUAUAAAAACAAAAGCGAAGAGGAAAAGAAAACUCAAGCUUUCUCUAGUCUUCAGUUUACUAAGUCGUAAAUUACAGAUGUCCCCUGAUGCCUAGUCCCAAUGUGUUGGAAUGAUGAAAAAUUCCAGGUUCUAUCACAAAUUUAGCAGAAUUUUUUACUCUACCAAAAAGUUUCAGUUACAAUUUGAAAUUCUCUAAUGAACAUUCAUUCACAAAAGUCUCCUAUUGUAUUCUUUCAAAAUACAUCAAAUAAAAUGGUAUAGAACCAUGAAACCCUCAUACUAUGUCUAGAAUAAGCAUCAUAACUGAACUUGCAUACAACAGGAUAGUUUAACAACUUGCAUCUAUAACUAAACAUCUUCUAUUGUAUUUUUUUUCUGAUUAAUCAUAAUGGCUAGUAUCAGAAAAAAAGAAAAACCAAUUAAACAAAAAAAAAAGUGCUAGCUAAACGAAUUUAUAUAGCUUGCCAUUGCAAAGGUCUAUCAUGGAUAAAAUUACAAGCUGCCCCAUGAACCACAAAAGACAAGUACCCAUUUGACAGAUUUUACAAUUGACUUGAGACACAAUUUGACAAUGAAUAUUCAUUUUCUAGAGAAGUUCCCACCAAUUUUGAGGCUAUCUUCCACACAACUUCUGAAUUUCUUUUGUUUAGAAAUCAAUUGUUUGGGCAAUAGGACUGACAUGUUUUCAGUAGAAUGUGAGGAAUAUGCACAAAUAUAUUACAUGAAGGUGGGUUGAACUUACUUUCCACCAACGUAAGGAAUGCCCUUCCCUGAAUUGCCAGGAAUCUCUCCUUGAAACCCAGGCAUUAUUUCUGUCAUUUCCUGGACAAUUUUAGGAUCCUCACUAUAGCUCUCUAGCAUCAGCCCCAUCUUGGAUCUCUGCAUACAUGAUAUAUAUACAAGGGUCCAAGAUUAGAGUCAACACGGUGCAAAGGCAUAUGUACUGCUAGUAUCUCUAACUUCAAGGGCAGUUGCAGGAUGACAUAAUCAACCAAGUAAUGGAUCAAACAUCCUCUGCAAUAAAAUACUUUAACCUAAAGUGGAGUAUUUUCAGAAUGGGAAGAGUGAUACUCCAAAUUCCCUUUUAAUGAAAUAGAAGACGAAGAUGAAGAAAAGUCAUUACCAUUAUCCUCGGUGUAUUUCAGAGUAUUUAAAUUCCCAUGCUCAAGAAAAUUUAGAAAAGUGGGGAAACCAAAUUUUCUUAUGAUUCAGUACUAUAUGUGUUCCUCACAAAAGUGUUGGUAUUCUACUGUAUAUGAGAACAAACAAAAAAAGUUCAGGAAAAAAAUAAUUAUAUAAAGGGAAGCAAUAAAUUAAUAAUCCAAAAACUAAAAGCACGGAGAGAGGAAGGAAUUAUAGACCUCAAUAAUGAAGAGAUUAUAGACAACAAGCAAAAAUGAAAGAAAGCAUAUAGGUUUAGGAGAAUGAUGAAAUUAAAACAAAAAAAAAAAAAAAAAAGUUAAAGUGAGCUCUCUUUUCACAUGCGUCAACCAUCAAUAAGCCACCAUACACAUUUAUCUCUUGAAUAUUGAACCGAUUUGAGUAAGUUCUCAACAUUAUAUUCAACUGAAUUGAGUAAGUUCUCAACAUUAUCUAAACUUUGGAGAGAAAACAUGAAGCAACUUAUGAUUUAUUGGGUGUAUAAUUUUCCAUUAAUGAUAACAAGCAUGAAAUAAAUUUCAAAUCUAACCUAAUUAUUCAACAAACAUGCACUGUGAACUUAAAUAACAUUAUUAAUUUUUCCAAAAGUAAUUGGUUGAUAUAAUUAUAAGUGUAUUUAUCCAAAAAUACUAAAUUAACUCACAAUUCAAAACCAUGCAGAAGGUUUGCCUAACAUGGAAUCUUUUUAAGAUUUCAUAUCUUCAGUAAACUACUUUUGCAUCAGAAAAAUAGAAAUAAAGGGCAACACUUUUAGAAGACUGACAAUAGAAUGAAAUAAAUGGAGUCAUAAAAAAUGGAGAGAUUGCACUCCUGGAAUCUAUUAUAGAUGACAUGCUUGAAUUAAAGAGCACAGAAAUUCUUUUGACAUCUUUUAAUAAGUAUAACAUUCUCAUUUUCAUGUAUAAUUUAUCAAGUAUGGUUAUAAUGUCACUUGCUCUGGCAAUGGUACUCCCUUUCAAAGUACUUUUUCAAACUAUUGAGUCUAGCUAUUUCAGAUAUGAGAAGAAUAGUGCUACCUUCAAUAAAGUUGAAGAUGACUCUAUCACUGUCACUCCAAACCAUUUAGGUUUCCAAGCUUGAGUAGCUUAAAAUAUUGCAUCCAAUGAUAGAGAUGUCCAAGCCCCACCAUUAUCCCUUUUUACAUUGAAUUUAUACCAAUUACAUCUGCAAUAAAAUAGUUAACCCGAGAAACUUCCAAACACAAAAUAGAAAGUUCAUUUUAGCAAAACAGAAUUAGCAAUUGAUAUCUUUAAAGAUACAUUUUUCAAACUUUACUAAUUACAAGCAUGCUUUCAGGCCACAAAGGUUCAACUAAAUUAUAAUAUCAAUGGAACAUUGUAUUUUCUCUAUGCUAAGUCUAUCAAUGGUUGACAUAAUAAUCAAGUGUUCUUGUCUAUGUUGUGCUUCGGUUCGAGUGAUAUUUAGAAAAUAGUAUAAAUCAUAGGAAUAUCCUACUGUUUUGUCUAUGCUAAUACAUACACAGGGCAUAGAGAAGACAAGGAGUGUAGAAAAUCAAUGAUGAUGCAGUCAUGGACAGUGGGAGAAGGAUUACCUGAAUUGAAAAGAAAGCAAAAUUCCUUUCUGCAUGAGUCAUCUAAGAGUAUAAAUUUUUGGGUCAUGUGAAAUUUUAGGCAAAUUCAAGACUUGUCACCUUUGGGCUUUAGGCCAAUGAAUAAUCUCAAGUUUCGAAUCUGCAAGAAAAUAGUAACUAAAUCAACCCUAGAGUUUUCCAAAACUCUUAGAAUGCAAAACUUUAAGUAACAUGAUUAGCUUGGUCCUCAAUUACCAAUUAAGGACUUGUCUAAUUGUACAUUAAUUGGAAGAUGAAAAAUUUUCAAACUCAGUGAUCUAAGAUUUUUCCAAAUAGAUUGGGAAAAAAUGAUAAAAAUUGAAACUAUUAAAAACAAGAAGAAACAUUGGAUUGCAAACCUGAAAUAUAUUGUAGAUGACAUGCUUGAAUUAAAGAGUAGAAAUCCUUUAUGAAUCAGCCAUCCAUGUCAAUUUUGAGAACAUGUUUCGUUUUGUGUCUCAAACUAUUAAGUUUGAGUACUUUCAGAAAUGAGAAAAAUGAUGCCACAAAUUGUCUUUCAAUGAAAGUAAAAAUGAUCUCAAUACCAUUAAUGCUUUACUCCAUAGCAUUUUUAAUUCAAAAGGUCAAGAAACCUGAAAUAAAGGGUGACCAGAUUGUCAUAUGAUUCAGUAAGAUGCACUCCUGCAAAUUGUUGGUGUUCUACUACAUAUAAUAAUUAGAAAAAUCAAAACUCCAAAAAGAAUAUGAAAGUCUUUAACAAAUUGAAUGGGAAGUAUUAAAUUAACAAUCAAAAGUUUUAACAUGUAAAAAGCAGAUGGAAGGCCAACAACGUAUAUUUCCCCCACCUCCCCCCCCCUUUAUACAUGUUGGUGCUUAUGAGAAUUAGGAAAACAAAAUUUUAAACAAAGUAUUUAAACUCUUAGAAGAUUGAUUGUAAGAUUAUAAAAAAUGAAGCCUUCAAAAACAGGAGAAAUGUUUGAUUACAAACCUAAAACAUAUUGUAGAUGACAUGCUUGAAUUGAAGAGAGCAAGAUCAAUUCAAGAAUCAACCAUCAUUUCUAGUCGGCAUCAAUUGUGGGAACUUGAGAAAUUUCAGGAGGUCAGUCUUUGAGUUUUCCUUUCGGCAUGUUUCUAAGCAUAGACAGUAGGCUCACAACGCAUCUUUUCUGGAAGUGCUUUCAUAUCAGGGCAGUCAACAACUGAAGGCCAAACCAUAGAGAUAGCUUUUGAGGCUUCAAGGGUAGUGAUUAGGAAUCACUUGAGACACACACAUUAGGACACAACAGCUUUGAAUUUUCAAUAGCUUGAGAAAAGUGAGGUGUGGAAUCGCUGCAAAAGACAAUCCUAACUUUCCAGUUACUGAAGGGAAGUGGGAUGUUUCAGCCACAAUGUUAUCUGUUUUUGCUUACAACACUAUCAGGUUUUACUUUGAUGCGACAACAAUUAUAUCUGCAAUAAAAUAGUUCACAUGACAGUUACACGAUCCAUUUAAUAAACAAGAUUACAAAGGUGCACAGAAUUCUUAAUAGAUAGAUUGAAAAAUAAAAGAUGAAGUAGCCAUCAAUAACAGGAAGAAGGGUACCUGAAAUAUAUGGUUGUCAUCAUCCUCAUUCUCUAAUAGAUAAAGUUCUUCUCAAUGGUUGUGGCAUGCUGAAUACGUUGAGACAGAGACAUUGUUCUCUACACAAACAGUUUACAGUCCUCGAGAGAAGGGAGGUGUCACAGUUCCACCUCUGGCAGAGAUAUUUUGAGAUUUCCAUGAAGAGGAGGCCAAUGUGAACUCCAAUCAGCUUUAGUUUCUCACUUAACUUCUUAAUUCUGCUACAUAUGAGUAUCAAUAGAUCAUAACUAAAAACAUAGUACAGAGUUUUUAAUAAAUUGAUUGAAAAAUGAUAAAUGACUAAAGGAUCAAAGCUUAAAAAAAGAGAAAUUGCAAACCCGGAUAAUGAAUAAAUAUUAUGGAUGAGACACAAACUAAAGAGAUCAUAGAUUGGAGAGUAUGGUGGAAGUGAGUUAACUCUUUCCAAAUUGUGUCAAAUUUAAUGGCUUUUCUAAUUGUACAUUGAUUUAAAGAUGCAAACCUUUCAAACUUAUCAUUUUAUCAAACAGUUUGACAGUAAAUAAUAAAAAUCGAAGCUAUUAAAAGCAAGAAGAAACAUUGGAUUGCAAAACUGAAAUAUAUCAUAGAUGAUAUGCUUGAAUCAAAGCACAUAAAUAAUUUAUGAAUCAAUCAUCCAUUACCUUUGAAGCUCAAAUUCUGUAUUGGCCAUCUAGUAUAUAUGAAUUUUUGGGCCAUGAGAAAUCCUUAGACCAAACCAAACUUUUGGCCGUGAUUUUAUGCUGGGGAAUUGAAGAAUGCAGGAAAUGAUUUCAAGAUGGGCCAAGGAAUAAUCACAAACUUCUUAAGUAAAUAAGGUGAAUCUACUAUAAAAUAGUAAUUAAAUCAAGGUCGAUCUUUAAUUAUAAUUUUAUACCGUCAUUAGCAAUUGAAUUGAAGAGCAAAAUUGUCAAACUUUCUCAUUCAAGCAUUUCAUCAUAUGGACAAGGUGCGAACAUUAAUAAUAAAAUCAAUUUCUGCUUUAUAUGCUAAUAUAAUCAACUUUUGCUUUAAAUAAAUUACUUAAAUAGAAUUCAUGUUAUUAUAGGAUAUUGAUUGUAAAAUCAAUAAAAACGAAGGCAUAAAAGAAUGAGAAGAAGGGUACAUUUCAGACCUGAAAUGGCUUUCUGCAUCGGACCCAUACCCAAUCAAUACUAAUGUUUGGGACAUGAGCAAUCUUGGGCCAAUCUUCACCAUUUUCCCUUUGGCAUCUUCUGGAUAAGUGUGGACAGUAGGAGAUUUCGAGUAUGUGGAGGGUUGCGAGGGAACGCAUCUCUUCCUGUAGUGAUGUCAAUUUAGGGCAGUCACAAAUUCCAAGUUGACACGAGGAAAGGUUGCCCAUCAAUAAGUUGUACGGGGACAUGAGCAAUCUUGGGCCAAUCUUCACCAUUUUCCCUUUGACAUCUUUCGAAUAAGUGUGGACAACCAGAGAGUUGGAGUAUGUGGAGGGUAGUGAGGGAACGCAUCUCUUCUGGCAGUGAUGUCAAUUUUGGGCAGUCACAAAUUCGAAGCUGAGUCAGCGAGGAGAGGUUGCCUAUCCAGUGUGGUAAUGUUGCCAAACGAGUGCAGUUCCAAAUUUCGAGAGUUUGCAGAGUGGAAACAUGUUGAUGAAGCUCAUCUGGGAGUGUCAUCAAAUCAUCUAUCCUUUCAAUAGACACAGACUCCAAUGAAGAAGCAGUGGCCAACAAUGACUGCCGUAGUACCUCGUCUCUCACUUUCAUCAAUUUUAGUUCCUUGAGACAAGGUAACGAAGACGCUUGCACGGAUGUGAGCUUAGGGCAAUCGAAGAUCUUCAAACUAGAAAGAAGAGGAGAUGAAUGCAGUUCCAAGGAUGCCAGGUCACCACAAAACCUGAUAUCUAAUCGUGAAAGAAGAGGAGAUUGAGGCAGUCGUAAGGAUGUCAGCUUAGGGCAAUGGUGGAUCUCUAAAAUAGAAAGAAGAGGAGAUGAAUGCAAUUCCAAGGAUGCCAACUCGUCACAAAAGACGACCUCUAAUUGUGAAAGAAGAGGGGAUGAAUGUAAUUCCAAGGAUGCCAACUCAUCACAAAAGUAGAUCUUUAAUUUUGAAAGACAAGGAAGAGAAGGAGGUGGGUGUGUUGGUAAGCCCCUCCUCCACAAUUCCUUUAACUUUGGCAUUCGAUUGACAUUGAGGUUUUCAAGAGAUGGGAAGAAUGGCCCUUCUGAUGAACACUCCAUGUACUCCACCUUUUCUAGAUCAUCAAGCUGUAGAGACUUGAGGUGAGGGAGUCGGACAAAGCAUGGCAGAGUCUGGCAUCUUGAACAUCCUUCCAAAUUAACUGUGGUGAGGUUAGGGAGCAUGCUACUCAACCCACCAUUCAUCAUCCAACUUGGAAACCUAAUUCCCCCGUAACCUUCUAUGCAAAGCUUCUUUAGGUUUCGAUGUGGUUGUAGGCCUUCCAGCACUGACUCAACAUCCUCACUGGACUGAGCUCCUGAGCGCCGCCAGUUUAAUCUCAAGGACUGAAUGUGCUGUUUUCCCCCCAAAUUUGCUUCCCUGGAUUCUAGCACGACAUCCCUCACAUUUUCAAGCCCUUGAAUCCAUAGCCCUCCUCGGAGGUUAUUAAGCUCUUUCAAUUCACUCAGUCUACCGGCUCUUCUCACAUUUCCAACAGCAAAUACUGGUAGGCUUUGAAGCGAAGUCAGCUCUCCUAUUCCACAUGGCAUAUGACCCAAAGCAUGACAGUCAUCAUUUUCCAAGUGUCUAAGAUUGAUCAAUUCUAUUGUAUCUUCGGGAAAUUUUAUUAACUUAUAGCAUCCAACAAGCUUUAAUGUUUGCAAAUUCUUUAAUCUUGUAAUACUAUUUGGGAGUACUUCAAAUGCAUUGUACGAAAGAUCAAGAUAUCUUAGAUUACUUAAUUUGCCCAGAGAUUUUGGUACCUUAUAUACAAUGAAAUUAUUUAAGCUCAACACACGUAAAUGCUUAAAACUUGAAAAAUCUGUACUUUGAAUUGAAUCAAAUAGAUAUUCUUUAUAUGUUAUAAUGCUUAAAAAGGUCCUUAUGUGUUUUACCUUCAAAGCCUUCAACUUGAGAUUCAUUGAUUUAAACAACGAUAUAUGAUGAACUUCUUUUGAGAUCUCCUUCACAUCAUCUUCUAAAAUAAGGGACCCUAUAACUAAUUGUGCAAGGGCAUGGAUGAGAUCAUGCAUUUUGCAACUCAAUAUAUUAUUAGAAUCAUCUUUUCCAAACUCCUCCAACAAUGAUCUUGACAAUAAUUCCUCAAAAUAUUGAUGCCCUACAUUCUCAUCUAAAGGUUGAAUAUAACCCUGUGCCAUCCAUAAUUGCACCAACAUGUUUUUCUCAAUUUCAUAGUCUUUUGGAAAUAACGCACAGUAAGUAAAACAUGGCUUCAAAUAGAUUGGCAAAUCAUUGUAGCUUAACUUCAACACCGAUAAAACAUUAUCAUUUCCAGCUCCUAGUGAUAGCAAAUUUCUAUUAUUUUUUAUGGACAGCCAAUGACUUUCUUCUGUUUUCAGGCGCAAUAUUGUUCCCAAUGUUUUGAUGACAAGCGGAACUCCCUUACACAUAUUUACAAUUUCUUUUCCCAUUUCCACCAACUUUGGAUGCACUUUCUCUGGUUCUUCUGUGAAUGCUAUUUUUGAAAAUAAAUCCCAAGCCAGGCUGUCUUUCAACCCUUCCAAAAAAAAGGGAGAAUUAAUUCCCAUUAUUGAUGCGACUUUACUAUGUCGGGUGGUCACCAAAAUUUUACUCCCCUUUCCAACAACCAUCAACAAACUUUUCAAUUGAUCCCAUUUUUCAGGAUUUUCAUUCCAAACAUCGUCCAGUACUAGCAAGCAUCUCUUUUGACUAAUGUUUUCAUGAAGGAGAUUUUUUAAACCAUUCAACUCCAACCUUUCUACAUCUUGGUUACACACUUCUUUUAAGAUUUUUUUAACCAACGACUUCACAUCAAAAUGAUCAGAAACACAAACCCAUAUUCUAGGCUCAAAACAUUGCACCACUUUCUCAGCAUUGUACACCAACUGGGCAAGGGUGGUCUUACCCACCCCCCCAAUCCCAACAAUCGCAACCAUGGAAGGAAUUUCUUGAUUAUCAGAUGACACCAACGACUUUAUUAUCUCCUCUUUGUUUUCUUCUCUUCCCACAAUUUUAGAGGUCAACACAAAUGAGUGAGUCUCUCUCCAACUACUCUCCACCUCCCUCUGAACUAUGUUCCCUUGAACAAGUUUUAGCAGAUUCAUUUCUUUUACAAUUUCAUCAACCUCUUCUUUGAUAUUCUUGACCCUACUACUCAUCUUAAAACUAAAUACGAGUUGAUUCGAAGAUGAGAAGAAGUCACUGACCUGCCUUGCUACUCCCCCACGCUGCAGCUGAUGGGUUGCAAAGUCAUCCAACAAGUCAUCAGCAUCAUACACGACAUCUUUGAGCCUCCUCACCCAAGUUUUUACUGCAUGGCUUUUCUCCUGCUUCUCCUCAGCAUCAAGAAGUACACCCCUGAUAGCGUCCAGUUUCUCCGUAAGCUUCGUUAACUCUUUUGCCACACCAAACGCAGAUCCAAUUUGUUGAAUAGCCGAGGAGCCUAACUUGGUUAAAACGUCAGCCAUAAUAUCGAAUGGGAUUUGUUCAGCCAUUUUUUGAAGAGC